UACUACUACACAUCUCCUCCCCCUCCCAAGUACAAGUCUCCACCACCACCCCCGCCACCGGUUCACAAUUCUCCACCACCACCCCCGGUUUACCUGCCCCCGCCACCUCCUCCACCAGUCUACGUGCCUGCUCCGGCACCAACUCCAAUUUUCCCUUCUCCGCCACCUCCUGUCCCCAAGUCCCCACCACCACCUCACCCUUACGUCUAUGCAUCUCCCCCUCCUCCUUACUACUACUAGAAAGCGGCCAUGAAUAGCUCAUGCUUUUAUGGUAAUCUCAUUUAUUUUUAAAACUGUACAUGUAAAGACUAGUAGUUCAGAAUUACAUUAAGCAUUUCAAUUUUAAGUACCGUGUUCUGUUUAAUUGCGUUCCUAUUGAUUAAGUGACAAAUAAAAGAGAUUGAUUAAUUUGUUCUUGUAGGAGAGGCGAAUGGUAUCCGAAUAAAGAAAGCAAGGGUUUGAUGGAAGGCUUACUUGGAGCAAGAUAGCGAUCAAUCGAGUUGCUGCGUUUUAUUCUCUUUUAUCUUUGUUUUUUAAGAAAAAUAAACUGCCACACGUAGAAACAGAAAAUUAAGUUCUUGUCAUUUUCAUGCAUAUGGAUUGUUGCUGUGUGUGUCAAUCAAAUCUCCGUUGUGUCAUUUGUAAUUGUCAACCUUUAUGCAUGCAAAUGCGAGACCUCUUACGUAUAAUAAAAUUAAUAUACUUCCCAAGAUGGUCUUAUCUUGCGUUGACUUUUUACGUUCCUUUUUUGUAUUAUCUAUUAAAAACCCCUCUUUUAAAGUUGUUUGAUUAGAGCAUCAUCUAGCCUUGCUUAACGCAGUAUUAAAAAUCCUUUUGAGUUUAAUCACACUUCGAUUAGAGCGUAACUUAAUCGCAUUGACUUGGUCCAGUACUUGAACGAUAUCUAGUGUUUUGCUUCCGCUAUGCCCAAGGAGAAAAUUAAUUUCACCGUGAGAUAAGAGCAUUAAAAGGAAUUCAUAAGAAAUUUAAAUUAAAGCUAUGUUAAAUAUAUCGCUAGCUACUUGUUUUUGGAGGAAUUAAAACAAUUAAUAAGCUGCGAAGUGAAAAUGAAUAAAUAAAUGAAAUGAGGUUGAAAAUAAGUCUCGCCGCCUGGAUCCAAGGCCAAAACAUUCAUGAUAAGUUAGGUAAUUAAGUACAUGUUUUCAAGCUCUUCAUGAAGAAUAACGUUAUUGAAAUAAAUCACAAAGACUCCCUGCGCAAAUUAUUACAUUGAUUAAAAAAAAAAAUGCCAUAUCUUUAACAGGAUCGUGGCUCUCGGACUGUUAAUUACUUUAUUCCCUGCUUGGCCAACAGCUGGUCACUAAACAAAAUCAUAAAAAUUUUAUAUUUAGUCAAAUUGGUCCCACUUGAUGACAUCCUUUUCAUACAUAAAAUUGUUUAACGUCAAGGUUAAAUAUGAGAAGUUUGGUAGAGAAGGUAAAAAGGAAGUCUAUAUAAGGAGGGGAACGAGCUUUGUUUAUAGCACAAGUGAAACUCCACUUUAUUGAACGAUGGGGUCUCAAAUGGGCUGCCUCUUUGCCACUCUUUUGGUAGUAUCAGUCUCUCUUAGCUACUUGCCGUUAGAAGCCUCCGCAAACAAAUACUACUACACAUCUCCUCCCCCUCCCAAGUACAAGUCUCCACCACCACCCCCGCCACCGGUUCACAAUUCUCCACCACCACCCCCGGUUUACCUGCCCCCGCCACCUCCUCCACCAGUCUACGUGCCUGCUCCGGCACCAACUCCAAUUUUCCCUUCUCCGCCACCUCCUGUCCCCAAGUCCCCACCACCACCUCACCCUUACGUCUAUGCAUCUCCCCCUCCUCCUUACUACUACUAGAAAGCGGCCAUGAAUAGCUCAUGCUUUUAUGGUAAUCUCAUUUAUUUUUAAAACUGUACAUGUAAAGACUAGUAGUUCAGAAUUACAUUAAGCAUUUCAAUUUUAAGUACCGUGUUCUGUUUAAUUGCGUUCCUAUUGAUUAAGUGACAAAUAAAAGAGAUUGAUUAAUUUGUUCUUGUAGGAGAGGCGAAUGGUAUCCGAAUAAAGAAAGCAAGGGUUUGAUGGAAGGCUUACUUGGAGCAAGAUAGCGAUCAAUCGAGUUGCUGCGUUUUAUUCUCUUUUAUCUUUGUUUUUUAAGAAAAAUAAACUGCCACACGUAGAAACAGAAAAUUAAGUUCUUGUCAUUUUCAUGCAUAUGGAUUGUUGCUGUGUGUGUCAAUCAAAUCUCCGUUGUGUCAUUUGUAAUUGUCAACCUUUAUGCAUGCAAAUGCGAGACCUCUUACGUAUAAUAAAAUUAAUAUACUUCCCAAGAUGGUCUUAUCUUGCGUUGACUUUUUACGUUCCUUUGGUGAUGAUUUUGACGUUUGAAAUUGAUGACUAUUGUUUUCGUAAACUCUGACAUGGAUUUUUCGUGCAACUACAGAGCGCAUUAACGAGAGACUUAUCCAUGAGGGUCCAUGCAGAUCAGCGUCUAAUUAACCAAUAAUUAAUAUAACUUAAAAAAUAUAGAGUUAACAAUUUUUAUGGGUCAGGCUCAAUUGCAGAUGUUCGUACAAAAUUUCUUGCUAAUGUAUACUUGAGUAUGAUAAUAAGUUUUAAUCAUUAUUAAUAAUUCACUUGAUAAUAUUAAACAAAUUUUCAUAUCAAUUAAGUUACAAAAUUUCUGUGACAAAUUUCCACGUACUGGAACCAUGCAAAAGGGCUUUAUUCAAACAAAGCUGCAUAGCCGUUGGCAAUUAAAAUUAUUUAUCAAUUAAGUUAAGUAGUAAGAAUUGGAUUGUGGAUUCCAUUAAUUAUUUCAAGGAAAAUUUUAUAGAUAAUGCCGUAAUGAAAUUUACGGCAUCAAUACCAUGAUAAAUAUAAAUAUUGUAAAUUACAAAUAGAAUUAGUAAAUGUAAAGUAAAACCAGUAAAUUCAUAAAAGAUUAUUAAUUAUUUAAAAAAUUAACAUUGUUUCUACAGAAUUUUAGUGAAAAAUAUUUUAUUCAUUUACAAAAACAUUUCUUUAAUUAAACAAAAAAAAUUCAUUAAUUAAGCAAAAAAAUUAUACUGAAAAAAAAGUGGAAUAAGUUUAAUUGAAUUGGUUAUCAUAAAUUCUAUAUUUAGUCUAGGACAUUUGUAUACAUUUUCUUCCCAUUUUCGAUAAUGAUAUCUAUUUGUUACACAUGUUAAUUAAGUGCAAUUAUUUAUCUUGAUGUGGAUCAAGUAAAAAAAAAAAAAAGAGAUAUCAAUAAAAUUAGAUCUAAUUUUGAAUAUUAUGUAUACUUUAUGUAGUUUCAAACUUUUUACUUGUAUUUGGAGACCAUUUAAGGUUGUUGUUGAAGAAGUGUAGAAAGAUGUAAAAUAACUUCAUCUUACAACAAUUAUGAAAGAUAUUAAAAUAAUAUUUUUUUCAAAAUCCGAUUUUGAGAAAAAAUUUCAUCCUUAAUUAAACAUCACAUGUAUUAUAGAAAUGCAAAACUACCAUUGUUAUAUUUAAAUUAAAAAAUAAUAAAUAUAUAAGGUAAUAAACAUUAUAACAAGUUUUUAUUUUAAAAUUGUAAACUUUUGUUUCUAACAAUAACUCUGAUAUUAAUUUAUUUAUUUUGCCUUUCAUUCAUAAGUUUUAUGCAUAAUCUACAAACUUUAAGUUUUAUUUUGCAUUUAAUGUUGAUUUGGUUUUUUUAUAUUAUACGUAUAAGUUUUCAUUUUAUUUACCAGUAAUAUAUCAAUUUAUUAGCUUUAUAGUAAUUUACUUAUUUUACCUUCCUUUUAAUAUUCUUAUGUUUCAUUUCCAAAAUUUAUGUUUUAUUUUACAGUUGUUGAUGAUUUACUAGUUUUAUGUUAUGUUUGCAAGUUUUUGUUUUGUUUACUAGUAAUAGAUUAAUGGGUAAUUUUUAAUUGAGUCCUCAUUAGUUCUAGAAAAACAAUUCAGAGACCAGAAGUUUACUAAAUGAAUCAAUUAAAUUCUUUCAAGUACAAACUAAUGUCAUUCAAGUCCUUAACUUAAUUGCUCGGUUAAAAAUAUUAACAACGUUGAGGACAUUUUAGUAAAACAACAAUUGAGUCGUUUCUCAUUCUUUAUUUUUGACAGGUGGAAAUAGUUUAAAGUAAACUCACUUAACCUGAUUAAGUUAAGGAUCAGUUCUUUCAAAUGAAAAAAAAAAAAAAAAACCUACAGAAACUGCCAUAUUCUUCGUGUGGGAGGAGAGAUCGAGAGAACGUGGGAUGGUGCAAAAAAUGUUGUAUAAAUCUACUGUGAUUUUGACCAAAGCUUUGGUAGCAUUGAUUGAGUUCAAGUACUGGAGAGAACCUGAGUUUAAAGGUUAGUAACUCUAUUUUUUUAGUGAUUUCUGCAAGCAUUUUCUGAUAAAAAUUUUUUCAUAUUGAGUGAUCGUUGUGAAAAAUUAAGUUUUUCAAGUCUAUUUUUCAAAAUGAAAAACUAUGUUUAAUUAUUGGUGGAUUCAUUUUUUGUUUCAAUGUUGUAUUUUGUUAAUUUGUUGUUUUUAAUUUGCUCUUUAUGUAAUUGUUAGACCAAAUACACCAUUAUUAUACCUGUAUUCAUUUCAACAAUUUGGUAUCGUUAUAUUAAUAAGAUUGAAUUCAUUGUAUUUGCUUCUUUGUUCAUGUAAAAUUGAAUUCUAUGUAUUCUUAUGAGUGAUAAUUUUUCUAUCUAUUAGACUAAAUUCACUAUAUUCACUACUUUCUUUCUUUUUGCUGGGCUAUUUUUUCUUUUUAGUUUAUAUUUUUUAUAUGUAUUAGAUUGAAUUUGCUUUUGUACGUUUUUUUAGCCGAAUUACAUGUAUAUUUCAUUUAGGUUGAGUUUUUUUGUUGUUUGCUAAAUAAAAUUCUAUUGGUUUAUCAUUUUUUGAUGCAAUACUUUUUGUUUAAAAUUAAUGCUGGUAGCCAUGUUACCUUUUUUUCGGUUAAAAUUAAUUGGGUGAUGUAUGCGAUAUAGGGAACCAGAGGAAUAUAAGAUUAUUAGGCUGUUUCUUGAAAUUCAAGAUGUCAUGGUUAAGCAUGGACACAGUGAAAUGGAUUUGAUUGAAAUUUCUGUUGUAUUGCCAUGGACUACAAGUAGGCAGAGGAAGCUAAUGUCAAACGAUAGUGAAUUGUAUUGGGUUUUCGAGGAGUUUUUUUUUUUUUUUUUAUCAAUAGUUGUCCUGUCAUUGAGUUUGAGGUGCACACUGGGUCAGGUGGUCAGUCAUUUCAUGAAAGUGUUGUAAUAGGUUCUGAAAAUCCUGUCAAUAUAGGUGUUAGUGUUAUAAUAGUGAUAAGUUUGAAAAUCCUGUGGCUAAAAAGGGUAUGCCUAGAAUAAUUGGUACUUCUUUAUUUGCCUCAAAGUUCAACACUAUGAAAUCCACCAGGAAAAAGAAUUUAUCCACUUUAACCAGCACGUCUUCAAUCUUGCCUUCAGGAUAAGCAUGAGAUCUGUCAGCAUAUUGCAAUGACACUGUGGUUGGUCUGACUUCUCCAACUCCCAAUUGCUUGAAUUAUGAUAAUGUCAUAAGAUUGAUGCUUGCUCCCAAAUCACAAAGUGUCUUGCCACUGUAUUUAGUUCCUAUGGAACAAGAAAUUGUGAAACUUUCUAGAUCCUUCAACUUCUGAGGUAUUUUGCUCUGAAGCAUAUGACUGCAUUCUUGUGUUAAAGCAAUUGUUUCGAAUUCUCCAUGCCUUCUUUUUCUUGCCAAUAUAUCUUUAAAAAAACUUCACAUAAUUUGGCAUUUGUUCCAAUACUUCCACAAAAGGAAUGUUGAUAUGCAGUUAUUUAAAUGCUUCCAAGAAUUUGCUGAACUAUUUUUCUUACUUUUGCUUCUGAAAUCUUUAGAGAACGGUGGUGGAUGUCUGAGUUGCUAUGCUGCAGCAAGCUAUAUAGACUGCUUUUCUCUUGCUCUAUUCUAGUAUGUUGUUGUUAGUAUUGCAGCUUCUUCCUCAACAGGCACUGAAUCAUAUUUUUUUGUAGUUGUUGUAGCUUGGCUACUCUCACCAGUGUGCUGGAAAUAUGUUAUUGUGACUCUUCUUCAAUAUAAGUUUCCUCUUGAGUUGAAGUGGCUUUCACUCUUCGUUUUGGUACUCCAACUAGAAUACGAACAUCAUUUCCAGACUUUAAGUUAAUCACCUUGCAAUGCUCUUUUCCUUCUCUCCUUGGAUCCUCUAUAUUUCUUGGUAAACUACCCUGAGGUCUGUUGCUUAAUGCUGUAGCAAGCUGUCAAAUCUGAUUCUUUUAAGUUUCUUAAAGAUAUUGUUUGGCUUUAGACCAUUGCUUCAAUUUUCACAAUAUACUUUUUAAUUAGAGUUUCAAAGGAGCUGAGUUGAUCAUUGUUGAUGCUUAUUUGCCCUUAAUUUUGCUAGUGAAACCUAGGUGGCUGAGCAUGUCUGUUAUGUCCACUGGAUAUUACAGCAUGUUGAUUCUGAUUGUUCUAUGAAAAGUUUAGGGGCUAUCUCCAUCCAGGGUUAUAGGUGUUUGAAUAUGGAUUGCUUUGAUUCUAUCUAUUGAAAUUGCCAACAUAAUUGACUAAAGUUGGAUUCCCAGGACAAUUAUCAUAUAGAUGCCCCUCUCCACAAUAAACACAAAAGACUUCAGAAACUUGGCUAACUAUUGUUGGAGCAGUGGUCAUUACUUUUACCAUAUUUGUCAAUGAGGUUACUUGGGUCACUAAUGUUAUCAGUGCAUCCACAUUGUGUACUCAUGCUGCUCUUUUUACUGCAAUAGCUGAUGGCCAUUGAUAGUUAUUGCUGGUUAUCCUCUCCACUAAUUUUUUAUUUGAUUUCUAUUCAUGUGAUUUAUUUAAUUUGUAAUAAAUAUAAAUAAAAGAGUAAUUGAAAAUAAAGGUAAUGUUGUACACUUAUGCUAUCAGGGGAAGUUUUGACCAUUAUAAAAACAGUAUAGGUAAAAUAGUAUAUGUUGAUUACUGUAGGAGGGAAAUUAGCAAUCUCCCAAUAAAAUUAAUAUACUUCCCAAGACCGUCUUAUCUUGCGUUGACUUUUUACGUUCCUUUGGUGAUGAUUUUGACGUUUGAAAUUGAUGACUAUUGUUUUUGUAAACUCUGCAUGGAUUUUUCGUGCAACUACAGAGCGCAUUAACGAGAGACUUAUCCAUGAGGAUCCAUGCAGAUCAGUGUCUAAUUAACCAAUAAUUAAUAUAACUUAAAAAAUAUAUAGUUAACAAUUUUUAUGGGUCAUGCUCAAUUGCAGAUGUUCGUACAAAAUUUCUUGCUAAUGUAUACUUGAGUAUGAUAAUAAGUUUUAAUCAUUAUUAAUAAUUCACUUGAUAAUAUUAAACAAAUUUUCAUAUCAAUUAAGUUACAAAAUUUCUGUGACAAAUUUCCACGUACUGGAACCAUGCAAAAGGGCUUUAUUCAAACAAAGCUGCAUAGCCGUUGGCAAUUAAAAUUAUUUAUCAAUUAAGUUAAGUAGUAAGAAUUUUAUUGUGGAUUGGAUUAAUUAUUUCAAGGAAAAUUCUAUCGAUAAUGCCGUAAUGAAAAUUACACAUAAAAUUAGUAAAUGUAAAGUAAAACCAGUAAAUUCAUAAAAAAUUAUUAAUUAUUUAAAAAAUUAAUAUUGUUUUUACAUAAUUUUAGUGCAAAAUAUUUUAUUUAGUUACAAAAAAAAUUUCUUUAAUUAAACAAAAAAAUUAUACAGAAAAAAAAGUGGAAUAAGUUUUAUUGAAUUGGUUACCAUAAAUUCUGUAAUUAUUCUAGGACAUUUGUAUACAUUUUUUUCUCAUUUUCUGUAAUGAUAUCUAUUUAUUACACAUGUUAAUUAAGCGCAAUUAUUUAUCUUGAUGUGGAUCAAGUAAAAAUAAAAGAAAAGAUAUAUCAAUCAAAUUAGAUAUAAUUUUGAAUACUAUGUAUACUUUAUGUAGUUUCAAACUUUUUACUUGUAUUUGGAGACCAUUUAAGAUUGUUGUUGAAGAAGUGUAGAAAGAUGUAAAAUAACGUCAUCUUACAACAAUUAUAAUGAUAUCUAUUUAUUACACAUGUUAAUUAAGCACAAUUAUUUAUCUUGAUGUGGAUCAAGUAAAAAUAAAAGAAAUGAUAUAUCAAUAAAAUUAGAUCUAAUUUUGAAUAGGGAGAUUGCCAAUUUUCCCUCUACAGUAAUCAACAUAUACCAUUUUCCCCUCUACUGUUUUUAUAAUGGCCAAAAACCCCCCUGAUAGUAUAAGUGUAUAUUAUUACCCUUAUUUUCAACUACUCUUUUUAUUUAUAUUUGUUAUAAAUUAAAUAAAUCAUAUGAAUAGAAACCAAAUAAAAAAUUAAGCAUUAAAAACAAGAAAUAUAUGUUUUGAUAUGAGAAAAAAAUUAAUAAUAAUUUUUUUCUUGUACUUAUUUAUUUUGUGAAAAUUUUCUUAUAAUAAAUAUAUAAGAAAGUUAUUAUAAAAUGAUAAAAACAAUUAUUAUAAGAAAAUUUGAAUGACAAAUAAAAAUUUAUUAUAAUAUAAAUAAUAAAAUAUUUUUCCUAUACUUUUUACAUUUAAUUUUAAAAUAUUACAAAAUGUUUAUUAUAAGAAAAUGUUCACAAAAUAAAUAAUUACAAGAAAAAAAUUUUAUUAUUAAUUUUUUUUGCUCAUAUCAAAACAUACAUUUCUUAUUUUUAGUACUUAAUUUUUUUAUUUAGUUUCUAUUCAUGUAAUUUAUUUAAUUUAUAAUAAAUAUAAAUAAAAGAGUAGUUAAAAAUAAGGGUAAUAUUAUAAACUUACACUGUCAGGGGGUUUUUGGCCAUUAGAAAACAACAAAGGAGUAAAUGGUAUAUGUUAAUUACUGUAGGGGGGAAAGUGGCAAUCCCCCUUUUGAAUAUUAUGUAUACCUUAUGUAGUUUCAAACUUUUUACUUGUAUUUGGAGACCAUUUAAAGUUGUUGUUGAAGAAGUGUAGAAAGAUGAAAAAUAACUUCAUCUUACAACAACUAUGAAAGAUAUUAAAAUAAUAUUUUUUCAAAAUCCAAUUUUUAGCAUAAAUUUCAUCCUUAAUUAAACAUCACAUGUAUUAUAUAAAUGAAAAACUAACAUUAUUCAAUUUAAAUUAAAAAAUAAUAAAUAUAUGAGGUAAUAAAUAUUAUAACGAGUUUUUAUUUUAAAAUUGUAAACUUUUGUUUCUGACAGUAACUCUUAUAUUAAUUUACUUAUUUUGCCUUUUAUUCAUAAGUUUUAUGCAUAAUCUACAAACUUUAUGUUUUAUUUUGCAUUUAAUGUUGAUAUACCUUUUUUAUAUUAUAUUUAUAAGUUUUCAUUUGAUUUACCAGUAAUACAUCAAUUUAUCAAUUUUAUAGUAAUUUACUUAUUUUACCUUCUUUUUACAAUUCUUAUGUUUCAUUUUCAAAAUUUAUGUUUUAUUUUACAGUUAUUGAUGAUUUACUAGUUUUAUAUUAUGUUUGCAAGUUUUUGUUUUAUUUACUAGUAAUAAAUUAAUGGGUAAUUUUUAAUUGAGUCCUCAUGUUUUCUAAAAAAAAAUUCAGAGACUAGAAAUUUACUAAAUGAAUCAAUUAAAUUAUUUCAAGCACAAACUAAUGUCAUUCAAGUCCUUAACUUAAUUGCUUAGUUAAAAAUAUUAACAACAUUGAGGAUAUUUUAGUAAAACAACAAUUGAGCCCUUCCUCAUUCUUUAUUUUUGACAUGUGGCAAUAGUUUAAAGUAAAUUCAAUUAACCUAAUUAAGUUAAGGAUCAGUUCUUGCAAACGAAAAAAAAAAAAACCUACAAAAACUGCCAUAAUCUUCGUGUGAGAGGAGAGAUCGUGAGAACGUGGGAUGGUGCCAAAAAUGUUGUAUAAAUCUACUGUGAUUUUGACCAAAGCUUUGUUAGCAUUUGUUGAGUUCAAGUACUGGAGAGAACCUAAUUUUAAAGGUCAGUAACUCUAUUUUUUUAGUGAUUUUUACAAGCGUUUUUUGAUAAAAUUGUUUCCAUAUUUAGUGAUCGUUGUGAAAAAUUAGGUUUUUCAAGUCUAUUUUUCUAAAUGACAAACUAUGUUUAAUUACUGGUGGAUUUUUUUUUAUUGAAUGUGGUAUUUUGUUAAUACAUUGUUUUUAAUUUGCUCUUCAUGUAAUUAUUAGACCAAAUACGCCAUAAUUAUAUUUGUAUUCAUUUCAACCAAUUGGUAUUGUUAUAUUAAUAAGAUUGAAUUCAUUGUAUUUGCUUCUUUGUUCAUGUAAAAUUGAAUUCUAUGUAUUCUUAUGAGUGGUAAUUUUUCUAUAUAUUAGAAUAAAUUCACAAUAGUUGCUAAUUUCUUUCUUUUUGCUGGGUUAUUUUUUCUUUUUAGUUUUUAUUUUUUAUAUGUAUUAGAUUGAAUUUGCUUUUGUACUUUUUUUAGCCGAAUUACAUGUAUAUUUCAUUUAGGUUAAGUUUUUUUGUUCUUUGCUAAAUAAAAUUGUAUUGGUUUAUCCUUUUUUGUUGCAAUACUUUUUGUUUUAAAUUGAUGCAAGUAGCCAUGCUACCUUUUAUUUUUCAGUUAAAAUUAAUGGGGGUGGUGUAUGAGAUAGGAUAUAGAGAACCAGAGGAAUAUAAGAUUAUUAGGUUGUUUCAUGAAAUUCAAGAAUUCAUGGUUAAGCAUGGACAUAAUGAAAUGGAUAUGAUUGAAAUUUCUAUUGUAUUGCCAUGGACUACAAGUAGGCAGAAAAAGCUAAUUUCAAACAAUAGUGAAUUGUAUUGGGUUUUUUAGGAGUUUUUUUUUUUAUCAAUAGUUGUCAUGUCAUUGAGUUUGAGGUGCACACUGGGUCAGGUGGUCAGUCAUGUCAUGAAAAUGUUGUAAUAGGAUCUGAAAAUCUUAUCAAUAUAGCGGUUGGGUGGGUUGUGAUAAGUUUGAAAAAUUUAGUGAGGAUGGCUUUAUCGGAGGGCUCUCAUCUAAUGAAGAGAAUGGUCUCUCACAGAUGUAUAAAUCCAUUGUUGAUAAUGAGUAGAAACCAAAUCCAAAUAGUUUAAUUAGUCUAAAAGUAGGAAAUACAUUUGAAUCUGUUGCAUUAUUAAGAGAGGUUAUAAUGAAGUAUGCAAUCGAAGAGGGUUUUUAGUUGAAUAGGAUUAAAAAUGAUGGUGUUAGGUAUUGUGUCAAUCUAAAAUGCACUUGGAAACUUAAUACUUCAUCGAUGGUUGACGGGAUAACUUUUAAAAUUAGGUAUAUUAAAGGGAAACAUGAUUGUCAGAUUAAAUAAGUUAACAAAGAUGCAACAGCACAUUGGAUGAUGUACAUGUCAUAAUGAGAGAGCUAAAAGAUAAACAUAGGAUUGAAUGUGAUAAACAAGAACUAUGCAGGGCAAAAGAAAUUGCACUAAAAAACCUAGGUCCUGACCAUGUUGCUUGCUAUGGAAAGCUUUUGAAAUAUGCUCACAUUCUAAUGAAAAUGAGUAGAGGUGCUUGUGUCAAGCUAAAGUUGAUAGGCCAUUGUCAAAUAGCCUAGUUUUUCAAAGGUUUUUUUAUCAUUUCCUGCACUUAAAGUGGGGUACCUAACUGGGUGUAGGCCUUUCAUAAGAUUGGAUGGAUGUCACUUGAAUGGGCCAUAUAGGGGAGUAUUGUUAUCUGUUGUUGCAUUAGAUGCUGACAGUGAAAUUUUGCCACUGGCUUUUUGCAUAUGUGAGGCAGAAAACUAUGAUAGCUGGGGUUAUUUUUUUUAUCUUUUUUGUAUGAAUUCAUUGGGGCCGAUGAUCAUAGACCUGUGACUAUUAUUAGUUAUAGACAAAAAGGUCUUUUAUGGCGACUAAAAAAAUAUUAGCCUAAUGCUAGCACUAGAUAUUGUGCUAGGCAUAUCUUUGCCAAUUGGAAGUGCAGGUUUCCUGGUUUGAAUGUGAUGGGGUUAUUCUGGAAAGCUUGUAGGGCUGCAAAUCAAUAUGACUUUGAGAGGGCAAUGAGUUAAAUUAGGGCUAAAGACCAAAAUUGUUGUUGCUUAAAGAUUGUGGGAAUAUGAGAUAUUUCCUUGGAAACCAGCAUUGGCUCUAAGUUAUUGCUUAAAGAUGUCAAACAUGUACCAUAUAUUCUUCUUAAUUUGAUCUCUACAGGAAAGCUUGAUGAUGAUGGUUAUACCAACUAAUUUGGUGAAGGAGUAUGGAAGCUCACCAAAGGCUCCUUAGUGUUAGUUAAAGGGAGGAAAGUAAACACCCUCUAUGUGUGAUAAUUCUAUGAAACGAGAGUUAUUAUGGAAAUUCUAAACUUAAAUCAAUAUUACUUACAGAGUAAAUGAUGUGUUUCUAUUGUAUUUUUGUUACAUUGUGUAUAAACAUUCAUUUUAGUUUAGUCUUAAUAAAUUUUGCUUAAUUUAGAAUAAUUCGUGCUUAAAUUAUGUGCAUAAUUGUAGGUGUCUAGAAGCUCAUAUCUCAUGGAAGGAGUGUUGAUGCAAUAGGCUUGUAAAAAUGAGGAAGAACAUGGCUACAAAAGAAUUGAAACAAAUCUAGAACAAUGUAGUGUUGUAGCCGUUCUUGCAGCAACCAUUGCUGUAGCAAUCCUGGAACAACGACAGAGAAAAUUUAGCACGAGAUACUUGCAGAAUCAAGAUCUGCAGUUUCCUAAUCUGACUUAUGCGCGCCCUGGGCUUCUGUUUACCCUAGUUUUCAGUUAUAAAAAGAGCACGCAUCAUAUGGUAAAGGGGGCGGUGAAUUAACAGCAAAGAAAUCAAGAGGAAAAGAAGGAAAAAUCAGAAUUCAAGGGAGAACAAGUCUGCACCAGUGAAGAUAUUGGCAGAACUAUUUGGAUUCAAUUUUCAUCGUUCUUUACUUAUCCCUUUUCUUACUCUUUGAUUGAACCGAUGUAUUUCAUCGCUGAUACUUUGCUGUUUGUUUUUCUUUUCCAAAGUAUGAACUAAAUUUGAUUGUAAUUGAGUGACAAACAAUCUCAAUGGGUUCUUGACUGUUCUUAUGAGUUGUUGAAAGAUUGCUGUAGCAUUUUGCUGUAAUAGCUUAUAUUAGAAUUAUUAUUUCGGUUGACCUCCCAUUUAAUGGUUCAAGUUAAGAGAGAGCCACAAAAUGGCAUGUCUUAGUGGAAAUUAUUAGAGUAAAACUUGAUCUUAAUUUAAGUUUUCUGGAUUGAGUUUAACUUGAGCCCCAAAAGAGCCACACUUGAGUUAAGAUUUGUGAAGAACUAGAUAUAGGGAUUCACCUUAUAGGGUAGAGGGGGUGUAUGUUCAUAAUGUCAUACCUUAGGUGAAAUGACAACUGGUCAUUGUUAGAGUGCUUAAGGGUAUGAGAAGUCCAACAAGCGACAGCUGAGGAUGCAAAAUAAUUUUGCACUGUGCUGUAGGAAUUGCUGUAAUAACUGGUGUUUAUUUGAACAGAACAGUCAGCCCAUGAAUGGAGUUUGAUCAUUCAGCUACCUCAUUCUCAUUAAAUUCUUCUUUACGCAAUUCAUCUAAUUUACUUUAUUACUGCAUUUAUUUUAUUAAAAUUGUUAAUUUCGGUAGUAAUAAACUUUAAUUAGAUUUCUCUUUAGAUAAAAGAAAUUUGCACUGUCGUGAUUGCUAUAGCAUUUCUAGUAAUAUCAGUUCAAGUGGAGACGAUCUUGAAUAUUCAUCAUUUUAUUACUUGUUGUGUACACUUGCACAUGAUAUCAAUAGCAAUUGAGUUAAAUUAAACAACAAGUUUUUGGCGCCGUUGUCGGAGAUUGAUUGUUUAUUUUUGAAGUGUGAAGUCAAUCUUGACAAGUGCCAACUUGAUCUAAUUCAUUCUAUUUAUUGACAGAUCAUGACUUGCAUGGGCAAAGGCAGAUCUGUUGAAUUUCAAUUUGAUCCUGAGAUUGAAAGGACUGUAAGGAGAUUACGAAGAGAGUGAAAAAAUUCAAAAACUGUUUCAAAAAUGGAUAACUUGCAAGAUGUGGGAAACUUGGAUCCUCACGGGCCACUACAACCUGUCAAUGUUCAAGAGGGGCAAAUGGGCACGUUAAUCAAAGACAACCAGGCAACAACAAUAUCAUUUACAUGGAAGACGAUAGAGAUAGGGUUAUCAGAGAUUAUGUUGUGUUAACUCCUUAAGUUGUACAUCCUGGAAUAGUCAGACCUGAAGUAGAAGCCGCCAAUUUUGAACUUAAACCGGUAAUGUUUCAAAUGCUACAAAUAGUGGGUCAAUUUAAUGGACUGUCAUCUGAAGAUCCUCAUCUCCAUCUUAAGUUGUUUUUGGAAGUAAGUAAUGCUUUUAAAACUACUGGAACAACGCAUAAUGCUUUGAGACUGAGGCUUUUUCCUUACUCCUUAAGAGAUCGAGCAAGAGCAUGGUUGAAUUCCUUACCAUCUGAUUCCAUCACUACAUGGAAUGACUUGGCUAACAAAUUCUUAAUGAAAUAUUUUCCACCAACCAAGAAUGCAAAAUUGCGAAAUGAGAUCACCUCUUUUCAUCAACUUGAAGAUGAGAGCUUGUUUGAGGCUUGGGAUAGAUUUAAAGAGUUUCUCAGAAGAUGUCCUAAUCAUGGCAUUCCCUGUUGCAUACAGCUAGAAACCUUUUACAAUGGGUUGAAUCCAAGUACAAGAUUGAUUGUCGAUGCUUCAGCAAAUGGAGCCCUAUUAUCCAAAUCUUACACUGAAGCUUAUGAAAUUUUGGAGAGAAUUCCUAACAAUAACUACCAGUGGCCAUCAAUUGAAAAACUGUAGCAAGAGAAGCAGCAGGGGAACAUAACAUAGAUGCAAUUACAGCACUGUUAGCUCAAGUAACAUCAUUGACUAACAUGGUAAAAGCCAUGACUUCUACUUCUACAGCAGUAAAGCAAGUUGCUGAACUAUCUUGUGUGUAUUGUGGUGAGGAGCAUGUAUUUGACAACUGUCUAGGAAAUCCAGCAUCAGUAAACUAUGUGGGAAACUUCAACCGACAGCCCUAGAACAACCCAUAUUCAAGUACUUACAACCCUGGAUGGAAUCAACACCCAAAUUUCUCAUGGAGCAAUCAAAAUCAGCAUACUCCAGCACCUAGUGGACAGAACAGACAUGCUCAUCCACUUGGUUUUCAUCAGCAAAAUUAAGAGCAAAAACACACUAGCCAUGAUCAAAUCACCUCAUUGGAAACACUUUUUAAGGAAUGUAUCGUAAAGAAUGAAGCAAUUGUGCAAAAUCAAGCUGUAUCUCUGAGAAACCUGAAAAACCAAAUUGGACAGUUUGCCACAGCAAUGAGUAGUAGAUCUCAGGGAAGUUUACCCAGCAAAACAGAAGAUCCAAGAAAAGAGGUAAAAAACACUGUAAAGUAAUCAACUUAAAAUCUGGGAAGAAUGUUGAUAUUACUGUUGAUGUGACUAAAAAGAGGUUGGAACUUAACUCCUCACAAGAACCACCUCAAGAUAAAAUGAUGUUACAGCAACCCAGCCACCAAGAUACUGGCACUAGUGGUCAAGCUACAGCAACCUUGGAAGAAAAUCACCCAAUACCUAUUGAAGAAGAUGUUGCAACACCAGUGGUGACAAAUUACAAUAAAUCAAAGGAGCAGAUAUUGGUACCUCUUGAAGUUGUACAACAAUUUAGGCAUCCACCUCCUUUCCCACAGAGAUUCCAGAAACAAAAACAAGACUAAUAGUUUAGCAAAUUCCUGAAAGUGCUGAAACAGUUACACAUCAACAUACCUUUUGUGGAAGCAUUAGAGCAAAUGCCUAAUUAUGUGAAAUUUCUAAAAGAUAUUUUAACAAGAAAAAAGAAGGUUGGGAGAAUUUGAAACUGUUGCUUUAACACAGGAAUGCAGUCACAUGUUUCAGAGUAAGAUUCCUCAAAAAUUAAAGGAUCCAGGAAGCUUCACAACAUCAUGUUCAAUUGGAACUAAGUACAAUGGCAGAGCACUCUGUGACUUGGAGCCAGCAUUAAUCUAAUGUCAUUAUCUCUAUUUAAGCAAUUAGGAGUAGGAGAGUGCAGGCCAACAACAGUCACUCUGCAAUUGGCUAACAAAUCUCAUGCAUACCAUGAAGGAAAAAUUGAAGAUGUAUUGGUGAAGGUUGACAAAUUCAUCUUUCCAAUGGAUUUCAUUAUAAUAGACUUUGAGUCUGAUAAAGAGGUACCAAUUAUAUUUGGAAGACCUUUCCUGGCAACCAAGAAGACUCUGAUAGAUGUUCAGAAAUGAGAGCUAACCAUGAGGGUGAAUGACCAACAAGUCACCUUCAAUGUAUUAGAAGCUAUGAAGAGUCCUGAUGAGGCAGAAGAUUAUAAUUUUUUUAGUGUUGUAGACCUUGCUAUGGCAGAUAGAAUAAAUAGAUGCUGCAGUAAAGAGGUUAUCAAAGCUGCCACCUUUGAAAGCUUUGAAGAAGAAAAUAUUGCAGCAAACUAGAUAGAUUGGAUGGGAGAAAUGCAAUCUAAAAGACAUAGCAGAUUUAUCGAACCUCUAAAUCUUUCAAACAAGGACAUAAAGACAACUUUACCAUCUAUUGAAUCACCUCCUACUCUUGAAUUAAAAUUGUUACCUUCACAUUUGAAAUAUUCAUAUCUUGGUGAGAGCAAUACACUUCCUGUAAUCAUUUCAUAUUCUUUAGAUGCAGAUCAAGAAAGAAGUCUGGUAUAUGUGCUUAGGAAAUAUAGAAAAAAAAAUUGGAUGGACUAUGGCAGACAUUAAAGGGAUCAGCCCAUCCAUAUGCAUACAUAAAAUUCUGUUAGAAGACUGCUAUAGCAAUUCAGUAGAGCAACAGAGAAGGCUAAACCCCAUUAUGAUGGAAGUUGUAAAGAAAUAAAUCAUCAAAUGGCUGGAUGUUGGGAUCAUAUACCUGAUAUCAGACAGUUCAUGGGUGAGCCCAGUACAAUGUGUUCUAAAGAAAUAAGGAAUAACAAUAAUAGAAAAUGAAAAGAAUAAACUUAUUCCUACAAGAACAAUGACUGGAUGAAGGGUAUGUAUGGAUUAUAAGAAGCUCAACAAAGCCACACGGAAGGAUCACUUCCACUUUCAUUUAUAGAUCAAAUGUUAGACAGGUUUGCUGGAAAAUAAUAUUAUUGUUUCCUAAAUGGGUAUUUAGGUUACAACCAAAUUGUUAUACCCCCAGAAGAUCAGGAAAAGACUACAUUCACCUGUCCUUAUGGAACUUUUGCCUUUAAAAGAAUGCCCUUUGGUCUGUGUAAUGCUCCAGCAACUUUCCAGAGAUGUAUGAUGUCUAUUUUCUCAGAUAUGGUGGAGCAAACAUUGGAAGCCUUCAUGGAUGAUUUCUCAGUCUUUGGAGAAACAUACACUGAUUGUUUACACAACUUGGAAGAAGCUCUUAAAAAAUGUGAGAUGACUAACUUAGUGCUCAAUUGGGAAAAAUGCCACUUCAUGGUGCAAGAAGGAAUAAUGUUGGGUCAUAGAGUGUCCAAGAAUGGCAUAGAGGUAGAUAAAGAAAAAAUAGAAGUGAUAGAUAAACUGCCACCUCCCACUUCAGUCAAGGGUAUUAUAAGUUUUUUGGGACAUGUUGAAUUCUACAGAAGAUUCAUAAAGGACUUCUCCAAAGUAGCUAAACCAUUAUGCUCACUACUAGAACAUGACAAGCCUUUUCAUUUUGAUAAAGACUGUCUUUAAGCUUUUAAAGAAUUGAAGAAAACUUUGAUCAUUGCACCAAUGGUUAUAGCACUAGAUUUGACUCUAUCUUUUGAGCUGAUGUGUGAUGCCAGUGACCACUCUGUUGGGGCAGUGCUGGGGUAGAGAAAGAAUAAGGUUUUCCACUCUAUAUACUAUGCCAGUAAAACUCUUGUUCAAGCUCUGAUUAAUUACACCACUACAGAAAAAGAGCUGCUAGUAGUAGUAUUUGCUUUCAAUAAGUUUAGAGCUUACUUGGUGGGUACUAAAGUGACAGUCUACACAGAUCAUGCAGCCAUUAAGCACUUAAUCUCAAAGAGAGAUGCCAAACCAAGAUUAAUAAGAUGGGUAUUAUUGCUUCAAGAGUUUGAUUUGGAAAUUAAGGAUAAAGGGGACUGAAAAUCAAGUAGCAAACCAUCUAUCGAGGCUGAAAGCAAAUACGAGAACAUUGACUAAACAAGACAUCACUGAAACAUUUCCUGAUGAACAACUGUUAGUGCUACAACAUGCACAGAUGCUACAACAACCGAGAUCUCCAUGGUAUGCAGAUUUUGCUAACUACUUAGUAAGUGGAUUGCUACCACCUGGGUUGAAUUUUCAGUAGAAAAAGAAAUUUCAUUUUCAGUAGAAAAAAAUUUUCAUUUUCAGUAGAAAAAGAAAUUUCUUCAUGAUGUUAAAAGCUACCAGUGGGAUGAUCCAUACUUGUAUAAGUUAUGCUCAGAUCAGGUAAUCCGCAGAUGUGUUUCAGAGGAAGCAAUUUCACAUAUACUGCAAUAUGGCCAUGCUGCAGCAUAUGAAGGACAUUUUGGUGGACAAAGAACAACUGCUAAAGUUCUGCAAUCAGGUUAUUACUGGCCUUCUAUUUUUAAGGAUACUUAUGAGUUUGCUAAACGUUGUGACAGAUGCCAAAAGACAGGAAACAUAACUCAAAGACAUGAAAUGUCAUUAACAAACAUUCUGGAAGUGGAGAUUUUUUAUGUAUAGGGAAUAGACUUCAUGGGCCCUUUCCCACCAUCCUUUGAGAAUUUUUAUAUCCUGGUUGCUGUGGAUUAUGUCUCCAAGUGGGUAGAAGCUGCAGCAUUACCUAUCAACGAUGCAAGAGCAAUAGUGAAUUUUCUUCAGAAAAAUAUUUUUUCCAGGUUUGGCACUCCACGAGAAACAUUUGCUGCAGCAAUGGCCAAAUAUAGAGUCAAACACAAAAUUGCGACAGCAUAUCACCCACAAUCCAAUGGCCAGGCAAAAGUAUCUAAUAGGGAAAUUAAGAAGAUUCUAGAAAAGGUAGUGAAUCCUUCAAGAAAGGAUCGGUCAUUGCGAUUACAUAAAUCUUUAUGGGCUUUCAGAACAGCAUACAAGACACCACUUGGCAUGUCUCCCUACCGAAUUGUGUAUGAGAAAGCUUGCCACUUGCUACUCGAGCUGGAGCACAAAGCAUAUUGGGCACUGAAGCAAUUAAAUUAGGAUAUACAUGCUGCAACAAAGCAGAGGAAACUUCAACUAUGUGAACUUGAUGAAUUACGGUUAUUCUCAUAUGAAAAUGCAAGAAUCUAUAAGGAGAGAACAAAACAAUGGCAUGACAAGCACAUCCAAUAAAGAAAAUUAAUCCCUGGUCAACUAGUUCUGCUCCAUAAUACCAGGUUAAGACUAUUUCCAGGAAAGCUGAAAUCUAGAUGGUCUGGACUUUUCAAGCUGCUCAGAAUUUACCCUCAUGGGGCUAUUGAACUCUUAGAUGGAAAGACAGGCCAAGAAUUCAAAGUUAAUGGGCACAGAGUUAAGCAUUACAUGCAUUCAGUUACAGAUUGUUCAAAGGAGGUCUUACUCCUUAGUAAACCGGCAUUGUGAGCAUUCAAGAAAGGUCACGUUGAAGGACCUUAAAUCAAACGUUGAAUGGGAGGCAACCCAUUGCUGAGGCAGUCAUUUCAAAUGAAGUGGAUCUUCCAUGUUUUUGUUGUAGUAUUUAUUUAUUUAUUAUUUUUCUUAGUUAGUAUUGUUUAAUUUUUAUCUUUUAUUGUUUUAUUUUAAAAAAAAAACGAAACAUGCCAAGUCACGCAAUUCUUAGAGUUGGAUUCAAUACUGAUAAUUGGUGUUGUAAUGUUAACAAGUUACAAAGGCAAGUUACUUGAUAGCAACCAUCUGAGGAGAUUGUUGUGCAGAUUGCUAGAGCAUACAUUUUGUUGCUGCAACAACCAAUUUUAUUGUUACAGUAACUUAACUACGGAGCCUCACAUUUUACCGUUGGAGAUAACAUGUGACAGCUAGUUGGGUGAACUCAGAUAAAGAUUGGGGAAGAAUGCAUAAUCUCUUAAAUAACUGCAUCAAUAUCUCUUUCCUAUUUUUAUGGGAUAUGCUUAAUAAAUUCAAAAAUUCUUCCCUAAUUUAUCUCUUUUACCAGAUUUAUUUUAUUUAUUUUGCACCUAUAUAAGAGUUUCACUGUGCAUGUUGACCUCUAACACUAUUUUCUUUUCCCUUAACAGUCACAACCCCUCUAUUUUAUAACCUCUGCUCUUCGUUUCACUCUUGAACAUAUUACCACAGUUAUCCUACUACUGCAGUAAUGCCAAGGUAUAAAAGGACAGCCAGCCGACUAAACGAUCCAUCACAAUUUUAAAGUUACCAUGCGGAAGAGAAGUAUGAAGAAUUUAUUGAACCGCGCAAGAUUUUGGAAGAAAAAGGGUUUCAGUUCCCACCUCAACCCUCUAGAAUUGUGCAAUCAUUAUACGAUGCUGCAGCAAAGCACGGGUGGCUGGAGUUUUGUAACCACCCCCGAGACCCUGUGUUGGAGCUAUUUGCAGCACUUGGAGGACCACCUACACCAAUUUGUUGUAUAUAUAAAAAGUACCCAUAACAAUUUCCCUGAUUCACUGCUACAGCAGUACAAUUUUGGUACCUCCAUUAUAGAAGUCAGUGAAGAUGUUGCUGACACAGAUAAACCUGAGGAAGAAACAGCAACAGAACCGCAAGCAGAUGCUGAUAUAGAUGCUGAUAACCAAUCAGACCAGCAUGAAGAAGAAUGUGUCCAGUCUACAAUUGACAGUUCCCCGACAGAGGAGGAGGAAAAGCAUGAGAAAGAACUCGAAUAACCCUCAGCCAGGACCUUUUCCAAGUCUAGGAAAAAGCACAUCAUACGAGAAAAGGAAGAUGAACCUGCAGAGGAGCCUCUCAUUCCAUUCCUCUCUCGAAAGGGCAAAGAGAAAGUAAUUACCCCUCCUGCAUCCGACGAUGAAGCCGAGCACAUUGAUGCAGAAUUGGAAGUUGCAGCAGCUAGGGUUACUCGUACACCCACCGAGACAAAGCAUAUGCUUGAUAUCAUUGCCGUAAUCAUGACUGAGGGGUAUACAGUCGAAGACCCAGCUCCAGCUCCCUCACGACAAACCCCCAGCAAACCUAUUCUCGCUAGUCCUAAAGGACCCAGCAAAAGAAAGGGGGGCACUUCUGGAGGCAUUGCUGCAGUAGACACACCAGAGCCAAAGAGGACCAUAUCUGUUUUGUCCCAGCCAGCUGCACCCACUGCAACUCCUCCUACUAGCCCAUCGCAAAGAAAGAAAAAGUCAUUGCCAGCUACCUCACUGCAAGAAUCUCCUAAAAACCAACUGCGGAGCGCCUCCAAAAAGCGGUGAAUUGGUUAUAAUUUAUUGCAGCAGUAUUUCUAGCACCAGGGGAGUACCACUACCCGCUAGUUUAUUUUACUUCUUCAUGCAACAACUUUUUCUUCAUUUAGUUUUAAUUUUCUGAUUUAUUUUGCAUGUCUUUUUAUUUAGUAUAUGCAUAUCUAGUUUAUAUGGUUUUGUUUUGUGUGCCUGUGAGGACACAGCACCUUUCAAGUUUGGGGGGGUUGUGCUAUCAUAUAGUGUGUUAUUGAGUGCAUUGCAUGUGUUGUGGUGUUGUUUGUGAAGUGAAGCUCUGUAUCUACUGCUUAUGUAUGGAUUUGAAAGCCUAAUGAAGAUAAAUUGAGUGUUACUCAGUAUGUAUGAGAAUGCCCAGUAUGGAUAGUCAUGGAUGGAGAUUGAAAUUAUGUCCCGACACUUAGACUUUGGUUGAAAUUCAUGAGACUGCUGCAACAGAAUCAAGAAAACUGCAAAGAGUAGAAAAUAUAUCAAGUUUAGGGGAAAUGUGUGUGUUGAGCUGUGCUUAUUAAAGUCUGUUCCAAUGGCUUAAAUGGUUGAGUAACUACGGCUGAGUAUGUACCCCAUAUGCAGACUUGAGUUAAAAAGCAACAAGAGUUAUGAGCAUUGUUGUAGCAAUUGAAAAAAGAAAAAAAAAAGAAGUCCUCUGUCUGAGAAAUUGAGUAGCCAUGUCUGUUCAUGAGCCCUAUGUUCAGCCUUGAGUUAAAGAUAUCUUUAGAUAAGACUAUGUUAUAACCAUUGCUAUAGCAACUCUGACAUGUACGUUGAGUAAGUAAUUGGGUGUCAUCAUUACAAGUGAUAGGCAUUCACAUGAAAGUUCAAUGUUGUAUUGAAGGGAGUGAAUAUAUAGAUAUAUAUAUAUAUAUAUAUAUAUAUAUAUAUAUAUAUAUAUAUAUAUAUAUAUAUAUAUAUAUAUAUAUAUAUAUAUAUAUAUAUAUAUAUAUAUAUAUAUAUAUAUAUAUAUAUAUAUAUAUAUAUAUAUAUAUAUAUAUAUAUAUAUAUAUACCAGAAGGAAAUAGGAUCGAAGGAUGGAUGUGUUUUCAAAAUACUUUAUUAUUUUGACUUAAAUUAAACAAUUAAUGGAAGCGGCUUCGUCAGAUUUUAAAAGAACUUACCGUGUAUAUAUUAAAACAAUUUGCUUUGGAACGCGGUUGAUCAAAAUUUUAGACCUAAACUGGUACGUGGCAUUGUUUUACCGGAUCGAUGCAGAAACUAAUCUGCCUUUGGACCCAUAUCUGACUUAGAACAGAUCAAUAGUCCGCACGUUCUGGUUUCCAGCCGAUAUACCGGAUUAGUGUGCUUUACCAAAUAUUAAUCAGAUUCUUUGGUAGAUCUGGAGAUCUAUCUUGCUUUGAAGCGCGAUUUGUCAAUUUUAGGAGUGUCUUUACCAGAUCUGAGUUAGGUUGAUAUAUAUAUAUAUAUAUAUAUAUAAAGUCUCAUAAUGCAGAUGUUCAUAUUUUUAAAAAAUUUUGAUUCGAGAUUUUACAAUGUUUCAAAAUAAUUUUCAGCAAUUUACAUCAAUGUAAUAGUUUUUUAACAUAUUUUGAAAACCUCAAACCCACAUCAAUGAAAUUAAGGUGUUUGUCACAAACAACUUUACGAGAUACAGAAACAAUGAAGUACAUAAAGAAUAAUAACCCAAGGCAAUCAACGAAAAAUGAAACAAAUACAUUAAAAGGGUUCGAAUUAAUUAGCACGUACGUAACAAAUAUGUGCGUGGCUUCAUAAUUAAUUUGGAGGUUCACUGAGGAACGCGAAGAUAAAGAGGGAUGGGAUUGUGAGAAUUUGGAGGUGAGUCCCAGACGGAGAAAGCACUUGUCGAGUUCAUCCAUUUCUCUGUAAUUUCAGGAUAAUGACGAUGAGAGGAGAAGAGGGAGAAAUAAAAACUCAAAAUAAAACCCGUGAGGAGUCUGAGUCUUCCUCUUGGAUUAUAUACAAGGCUUUGGAGACUGUUUACUGUAGCGGAGCUUUGAGUGCACAGUAAUUCGUGGAACUUUGCACUGUUCACUGUAGCGGAGCUUUGAGUGCACAGUAAUCUUUGGAUCGUAGCUUUGAAUAGUAGACUACUUUGUACAAAUACUGGAAUACAAAAUACAACACGGGUGAAGAGACAUGUGCGCUCUCACUUGUGUCCAGAGGACCACCCUAAAAGAAAAUAAUUACUUUUUUUUUUUAAAUAGUUACAUGAACUAUUUACAAUGCUUUAUAGGAGAGAAAAUUCCGAAACAAUCAUCUUCUUUUUCAUCUCCAAGAGAGACGGUUGGCUCGUCAUCAUCAUCAUCUUCAUCUUCAGUAGAAUCUGCAACUGAGGAUUUGGACCGAGAAGCGAGGAGCAGUUCCAUUGCUUUGAAGUACUCUUCUUCUGUUUUGGCACUUGCGAGGAGGGCUUGGGCUUUGGAUUUUUGAGUGAGGAAAGUGCCUUGGGCUUUAAUGUCUUUAAUGGCUGGUUGUAGGUGGCCUUGAGCAGAAAGCCAGUUUUGGACAAGGUCGGUAGUUAAUUUGGUCUGCUCGUCAAAUUUUGGAGGUGGCCUUUAGCAGAAAGCCAGCUUUGUACAUGGUGGGUAGUUAAUUUGGUGUGUUCAUCAAAUUUGGACCACCAUUUGACUCUAAAGGUUCUUUGGAGGAUAAAAUGGGAAUCUUGAGUGUGAUGUCGAAGACUCCACAUCCAGACCCAUGGGAGGAAGAAAUUUGUACAAAAGCAGAGAAAAGGAGAAAAUCUUUUCUCAGACUCAGUAGGUUUGUAGUUGGCUUUGAAAAGGUUUAGGCAUUGCAGAGCAUUUUGGGUAAGGAUAUCUGAGGUUGGACCAAAAUAAUUCCACCAAUGGUGAAACCAGUUCGGCAGGCUUUGGACGGUUAUUUUUGAAUUAAAGAAAAAUAACCAGGAAUGGGAUUUUUUAGGGUUUUGUAUGAAGAAAGUGUUAUACCAAGCCUGUUGGUAAUCCCAGUAGGAGAAAGACCGACAGUGCGGUAGGCGGGUCUCAAAGUCAAGAGGGAAAGUUUUAAAAUUGUGGAGCAGAUCACCCCACUGGUUAGGGCUCAAAACUUUUAAAAUUGUGGCCGUAGAAUAGGCCGGCUCAGAAUGGGUUUUACUUAAAAAGAAAUGUUUGAAUUUUACUGAAUCAGUAAUUUCCAAAAUGCUUUGAUAGUAAGACUGGGGUUUUGUCAAAUCCCAUGGUUUAAAAAACCAGCCUUGGGGAAAAAACUUUGAAAUACUUUGAAAAGGAUCAGAAUGGUAAAAUCCAUCUUCCAUAGAAAUAAUGUUUUGAAAAUGGGCUUUAUCAAACCAAUCGGAGGUUUUCUUUGAAGGUGUUGGUUGAGAGAGCACAAUUUGGGAGGAUGAGCUCUCACCAGAAACAACAAUGUUUUGAGAGGAAGGUUUUGAGAUUUCUUUGGAAGUGGGUUUUUCUUCCUCUUUGGGUUGACUUUGAGAAAGGCUCUGUAGGGCUAUCAUAAGCUCAGGUGAUUUUGUAAUGGAACUCAUCCAUUGCUUUACUUGGUCUUCAGAAGAAAUGGAUUUGUAUUUGGCUUCAUGUUCUUCAACCAAUUCAAUCCAAGAUUUAAUUGGCAUGGCUGAGGAAAGGAGUUUUUCUUUAGAAGGGGUUGCUUGGGAUUCUUUGGAAGGUUCUUUAGAAGGUUCUUUCCCUUUGUCUCUUUUCUUUGGAGCCAUUACCUGUUUUGAAGAAAUUUCCGAGUUAGAAAAUCAGGAACAGAAUUUUUAUCACCUUUAAUGAAUUCUAUAUCAAAAUCAAAAACACUGAGAAUAGCUUGCCAACGUGCAAAAAUCUGUUUUGAUGCAAUGUUUUGAACAUCCUUUUCUAAAACAUGUUUUGCAGCUUUGCAAUCAAUUCUAAGUAAAAAUUUUUGAUUUAACAAAUCACUUUGGAAUUUAGUAAUGCAUAAAACAAUGGAAAGAAUUUCUUUUUUGAUAGUAGAAUAGUUUUUCUGACAAUCGUUCCAGUGAGCAGAAACAUAUUGUACUAUCUGUUCUUUAUCAUUUUCUUUUUGUUUUAAAAUACCUCCAUAUCCUAAGUCUGAUGCAUCAGUUUCAACAAUUUUAGGAAAUGUAGGAUUUGCAAGAUGUAAACAUGGAAUGCUUUUAACAGACUGCUUUAUUAAUCUAACAACUUUGGUAUGCUCUUCUGACCAUGCAACAGGAUUCUUUUUUAACCUAUCAUGCAAAGGCUUUGACAUCCUAUUGAUGUUAGGGCAGAAAUCAAGGACAUAAUUUAAACUACCAAGGAAUCUUUGUAGUUGGGUUUUAUCUAAAAUUUUGUCUGGAAAUUUGUCCGCAAACAAAAGAGAUCUUUCAAUAGGAGUAAUGGUUCCUUUGGAAAUGUGAUGACCAAGAAACCUGACUUUAGUUUGAAACAAUGAAAUUUUUGAACUGGAAAGAGCUAAUCCAGCCUUUUUUGUAGCAAGAUAAAAAGUCUUUAGAUGUUUGAAAUGUUGAUCAAUGCUUUGAGAAAAAAUCAAAACAUCAUCAAUAUAAACAAUGCAAAACUCAGAGUAGGGAUUGUAAAUAUCAUUCAUAAUUCUCUGAAAUUCUGAGGGUGCAUUUGCAAAACUCAGAGUAGGGAUUAUAAAUAUCAUUCAUAAUUCUCUGAAAUUCUGAGGGUGCAUUUUUCAAACCAAAAGGCAUUACUGUCCACUCAUAUUGACCAAAAGGAACAGUAAAUGCUGUUUUAUAACGGUCUUUAGGAUGAAUUUGAAUUUGCCAAAAACCCGACUUCAUAUCAAAUUUGGAAAAAAUGAAGGCCGAGCAGAGUUUUUGAAGUAAGUCUUUCUUAUUAGGUAUCGGGUACCUAAUCCAUUUUAAAGCUUUAUUUAAAGGUUUGUAAUUUAUCACAAGUCUAGGUACACCUCUUUCAAUCUCGGAAUUUUUAUUGACAUAAAAAGCAGCACAAGACCAAGGUGACCUGGAUUUUACAAUAAGUCCUUUGGAAAUAAGAUCAUUAAUUUCACCUUUACAAUGUUGUUCCAAAUCCGAAUUCAUUUGGAUUGGACGGGCUUUAGUGGGUAUUUGCUUUUCAUCAAAAGAAUUUUCAUAUGGCAAAUCUACCAAAUGUUGUUUCCUAUUCCAAAAAGCAGAUGGUAAAUCAGCACAAAUUUCUUUUUCAAUAAGACUUUUGAAAUCAGAAAUUUUUCUUUGUAUAAUAUCAUUUUGUAAUUGACUCUCAAUUCUUUGAAAACUUAAAUCUUUUUGUAAGUAAAACAAAUCAUCUUGUUUAGACUUUACAAUAGCAUUGAUUUUGUUUUGGUAAACCGAACAGGCUUUGACAAUAUUAAGGUUUCGGGUCUUUGGUUUUUCAAUAAAUGAAAAAGCAAGUUCUUUGGAUUUUGCUUUGAAAUAUAUACCAUCAUAGUUGACAGCAUAUGGAGUUAUCAAAUUUAUAAAAGGUGUUCCUAAAAUGAUAGCAUGGUGUAUAUCAUUUGUAAGAACAAAAGAGGUUUUAAACUCAAUUUUGUCAUUGUAAAUGGAUGCUUCAACUUUGGAAUCAACCCUUAAUUUUGAAUUGUUUGCAGCAGAGAGUCUUUCAUUAGUUUUCUUAUGAAAUCUUUUUGGGACAAUGUCCUUACGAAUACAAUUUAAAUCAGCACCAGUAUCAAAAAGAGCAAUGGCAUCCAUCGCAAAAUCAUCUGAAAAAAUUAAAGUAAUCUUAAUCAAAUAUUUUCUGGUGGUGAUUUGCUUUAAGACAAACAAAAAAUCAUUUAGAAUAGACUCAAUAUUAUCAAUUUUUUGCUCAACAUCAUCAUUUUCUGAUUCAACUUCCUUAUCGGAAGUAUCCUGCAACUGUUUUUGUAAAAGGAGUUGAAUAGUUGCAGAAUCAGUUUUUUGUUUUUCUUUUAAAUCCUUUAUUUCAAGUUUAAUAUCCUUAAUCUCCUUUUGAAGGUCUUGGAUAUUAGGAGUAGACUUUUUCGUUUUCUUUUUAUCUAAAAUCUCAGUUAAAUCAUAAGAAUUCUUUUUGACAAUAGGGACUUUAGAAGAAGAAGCUUUUGUAUUGCUUGAAUCCAUGGUUUUUAAAAGCUUAUCAAGAUAUGGCCGUAGAUGCAGAGCUAUCUGAAUCGAAUAGUUCAUCGACUUGGAGGGGGUCAUUAUCACCCGACCAGGAGGACUCAAAAUCAGAAGAUCCGACCAGAAGAGGGGCUAUUUUUGAAAGGAUUUCCUCCUCGAGGCCGAGUUCAUGGAGUCUCUUGUUCAUUUUACAAAAACGUGCAGUAUGACCUUUCAUACCACAUUUAAAACAGGUAGCUUCUUUGAAAUUGAAAGGGGUUUUAGGUUUGACUUUAAACUCUUUCUUUUUAGAGAAACUAUGUUUCUUAUAAGGGCGCGAAGGUUUCUUAUAAGGGAGUUUUCUAAAAUCAUGAAAGGGUUUCUUAUGGCUUUUAGACCUGUAAUGUUUUUUGUAAGGUUUCGAAGAGCACUUACCAUUACAGUCUCUGGAAGUGGAAGUUUUAAAGGGGUCAUAAUUGAAUUGCUUACAGAACCCGCCUAAUUCUUGCUUAGAUUGCCUAAGCUCUUGUUUUAAACGUUUUUGAAGUUUCAAGUCUUGACAGAUCUUUAAACCUUCUUUGUUGACAAAACUGACUAAUUCACCAUAGGUGAGUUCGUCAUAAGGAAUACGAUUAUUAAAAAGGGCUUUGAUAGAAUUCCUUACCUUUUCUCCCAAAAGGGUAGGUAAACCUGCAAGGAAUUUUUCCUUCCAAGUUACAUGAUUUGCAUCAUCNNNNNNNNNNNNNNNNNNNNNNNNNNNNNNNNNNNNNNNNNNNNNNNNNNNNNNNNNNNNNNNNNNNNNNNNNNNNNNNNNNNNNNNNNNNNNNNNNNNNNNNNNNNNNNNNNNNNNNNNNNNNNNNNNNNNNNNNNNNNNNNNNNNNNNNNNNNNNNNNNNNNNNNNNNNNNNNNNNNNNNNNNNNNNNNNNNNNNNNNNNNNNNNNNNNNNNNNNNNNNNNNNNNNNNNNNNNNNNNNNNNNNNNNNNNNNNNNNNNNNNNNNNNNNNNNNNNNNNNNNNNNNNNNNNNNNNNNNNNNNNNNNNNNNNNNNNNNNNNNNNNNNNNNNNNNNNNNNNNNNNNNNNNNNNNNNNNNNNNNNNNNNNNNNNNNNNNNNNNNNNNNNNNNNNNNNNNNNNNNNNNNNNNNNNNNNNNNNNNNNNNNNNNNNNNNNNNNNNNNNNNNNNNNNNNNNNNNNNNNNNNNNNNNNNNNNNNNNNNNNNNNNNNNNNNNNNNNNNNNNNNNNNNNNNNNNNNNNNNNNNNNNNNNNNNNNNNNNNNNNNNNNNNNNNNNNNNNNNNNNNNNNNNNNNNNNNNNNNNNNNNNNNNNNNNNNNNNNNNNNNNNNNNNNNNNNNNNNNNNNNNNNNNNNNNNNNNNNNNNNNNNNNNNNNNNNNNNNNNNNNNNNNNNNNNNNNNNNNNNNNNNNNNNNNNNNNNNNNNNNNNNNNNNNNNNNNNNNNNNNNNNNNNNNNNNNNNNNNNNNNNNNNNNNNNNNNNNNNNNNNNNNNNNNNNNNNNNNNNNNNNNNNNNNNNNNNNNNNNNNNNNNNNNNNNNNNNNNNNNNNNNNNNNNNNNNNNNNNNNNNNNNNNNNNNNNNNNNNNNNNNNNNNNNNNNNNNNNNNNNNNNNNNNNNNNNNNNNNNNNNNNNNNNNNNNNNNNNNNNNNNNNNNNNNNNNNNNNNNNNNNNNNNNNNNNNNNNNNNNNNNNNNNNNNNNNNNNNNNNNNNNNNNNNNNNNNNNNNNNNNNNNNNNNNNNNNNNNNNNNNNNNNNNNNNNNNNNNNNNNNNNNNNNNNNNNNNNNNNNNNNNNNNNNNNNNNNNNNNNNNNNNNNNNNNNNNNNNNNNNNNNNNNNNNNNNNNNNNNNNNNNNNNNNNNNNNNNNNNNNNNNUUGAUGAAAAUUAACAAAUUCAUAAUAAGUUUGUUGGAUUUCCUUCCUUUGAUUUAAAAAAUGUUUGAAAAACCAAAGUCUUUUUUCUUUAUUAUCAACUGAAUAAAAAUCAUUAUGUAGGAUGGUCUUAUCUAUUUCAAAAUGCUUUUCAAUGACAUUUAAAACAUUUUCUGUGACAGUAGAGAAUGUAGGAGAUGUUGGAGGAGAAGGUUCUUUCUCUUCCUGUUUUUGUUCAUGUUGACUGCUGAUGUAAAUGGGAUGUGGUACCUUUGUAGUAUAGUCAACAGAACUAAUAGAAGAAUUAGGUAAAUCCGAAGUGGAGAACCUAGAUUGACUUUGAAAUGGAAGGUUUAUAACAGAAGGGAUUUUUGAAAAUUUCCUUUCUAUCGAAGGAAUGCUUGAGCGUCAGGAGCUAUUUGAACUUUACUAGAUGAGGAAGAAGUAGCUUCAGUAAGACUGGGGUUUUGUCAAAUCCCAUGGUUUGAAAAACCAGCCUUGGGGAAAAAACUUUGAAAUACUUUGAAAAGGAUCAGAAUGGUAAAAUCUAUCUUCCAUCGAAAUAAUAUUUUGAAAAUGGGCUUUAUCAAACCAAUCGGAGAUUUUCUUUGAAAGUGUUGGCUGAGAGAGCACAAUUUGGGAGGAUGAGCUCUCACAAGUUGUUCUCUUAUGGCUUUAGCAAAAUCAGACUUUGAUUCUUGGACAAGCUUCUGACUAGUUUUCGAAACCUGAAAAGGUUUGAAAAUAGGUUCUUUAAGCUUUUUAUCAGAAUCUGAUUUUAAAGAAACAGGUUUUGGACUAGGAGAAACAGAUAUGGUUGACUGUUGAAAUUGGUUUUCCAAUCUAGUCAACUGUUUUCCUAUGGUAUUUAAGUUAGUAUUACAGAAAUUGUUCUGUUGAAUAAUACUACUUAAAUUGACUUCAGGAUCAUUUGGCUUAGGAAUUUUGUAAGGUGAAGCUCUGAUUUCAACAGGAGGUUCACCAUGAUCUAAGGUUACACUUCUAAGAGGGGGAUGCUCAGAUUCGACUGUUCUAUUACUAUCGAAGAGUUUCCACUCAGUGGUUUUCUUCCUGGUAGUAAUAGGGUUUGACUCUUUGAAAGGAUAGGAAAUGUUGUUUUGAGAAGAAUAUAUUUCGAACCAAUCAAAAAACAAUAUAUGAACUUGAUGAAAAUUAACAAAUUCAUAGUAAGUUUGUUGGAUUUCCUUCCUUUGAUUUAAAAAAUGUUUAAAAAACCAUAGUCUUUUUUCUUUAUUAUCAUCUGAAUAAAACCAAGGUCUUUCAAAAAAAUAAAUACAAAUUUUCUAAAUUUAGUAAGUAACAAACACUAUUUUCCUCCAAUUUCUAGCAUCCACCUUUGAAAAAAAUUAAAUCCAUCCAAUUUAUCUCCAAUUUCUAUUUAUUUUGGGUUAAAUUGUAAUUUUGAGGGGUAAAACGGUCAUUCCGUUAAAUUCGCUAAUGGAAAUUAGACGGAAGUGGAUGAAUGCAACAAAAAACAAACUUCAGGUGGCACGCUGAAAAAAAAAGUGUUUGUGUAUUUUUGAAAAAGACAAAAUAAACAGGUGGACAGUUGUAAAUUUCCCUUUAUUUUAUUAUGCUAGCAAUUAAACUUUAGUGACUUAAAAUACAUCAAUUAAUUAACAUAGGAAGAAAGGUUCUUUCAUCUUUCUUCAACAAUACCAGUGGAACCUAAUUUUAAUGCCAUAAUCACAUAUUUAAUUAUGAAACCUUUUAUUUAGUGCCUUUAUCGGAGAAUCUGGAAGAGUUUGAUCUCCUGAAUGAUAAUUUAACUUUACCAUCAGAAUACUGAGUUACAUUUUGCAACUCUGUAUUAGGCUCAAGUUGUUUUGGAAUCGCUGGUGGAGCGGCUCCUUCAAGAAUCCAUUCUUCCGGAAGAUUGACAUCUUUCCAUUGGAUUGGUUUUGGAAUGACAGUGUUUGCUCUAGAUAGGUCAGUCUGUAAGAGAAGAGUUUCAUCUCUUUUUGACUGGAAUUUAUGUUGAGUACUGAAGGCAGUAACCAUAACUUUGUAAGAGAUUUUAAAAAUCAAUGCAACAGGGAUAGAUCCCUCAAUCAUAUGAUAAUUAUGCGUUUUGAUUUGUAAAAUCAUGCUUUUCAAAAUGUUUUUGUCUUUAAGAGAUAAUGUUAUGUUUGGAUAACAGUCGAAUGAAAUGGGACCUUUACAUAGGCUAGAUUCAAUGCUACUUAGCAGAGAAUCAUCAAAAGAGAUGAAUCGACCAUCUCUAAGAACAGCAAGGAUAGAAGUAUCCAAGCCUUCUUUGGUGAGGGGCUUUAUGCCGAUUUGAAUCAGACCUAUAUGAAUGUAAUUGAAGUUCUUUUCUCUCAACUUGUUUAAAGAUUUUUCUGAAAACAAAUUAAUUGUUUCAAAGGGCUUUGAAAGAGUUCUGCUGUACGGCCAAGGCGUCUUUUCUCUCAACUUGUUUAAAGAUUUUUCUGAAAACAAAUUAAUUGUUUCAAAGGGCUUUGAAAGAGUUAUAUUACGCUCUUCAGUUUUUAUAACAUAAUCAUUUUUCCAAAAAUCGAGCUUUUUUGUUCUGUAAAUCUUUUCUUUCGAAAUCUUUGGAAGUUUCCAACAAUCAAUUGCUUUAUCAAAGUUCUCAAUAACAAAUUCUUCUGAACUCACAACAUGCUUUGAAUCACUAGUCUUCCCGGAAGAAGAGCUAGAAAAGGACGAUGCUCUACAGUGAAGAGGAUCCAUGGUUAGAAUCCUGGGUUCUAUUUAUGGUUUGGUCAGAAUGGCUACAGGUAUGGCUUUACAGCCCUAAACGGAAAACUUAUCCUUGGUCGGGACUUACUACCAGUAAAAAUUCACCAUAAAAACAAAACUUCAAAAUAAAACACAAGAUUUUUUAAACACGAAAUUCUAAACUGCUUUACACAAUCCUCCCCUUGGCUCUGAUACCAGAAGGAAAUAGGAUUUGCAAGAUGUAAACAUGGAAUGCUUUUAACAGACUGCUUUAUUAAUCUAACUGCUUUGGUAUGCUCUUCUGACCAUGCAACAGGAUUCUUUUUUAACCUAUCAUGCAAAGGCUUUGACAUCCUAUUGAUGUUAGGGCAGAAAUCAAGAACAUAAUUUAAACUACCAAGAAAUCUUUGUAAUUGGGUUUUAUCUAAAAUUUUGUCUGGGAAUUUGUCCGCAAACAAAAGAGAUCUUUCAAUAGGAGUAAUGGUUCCUUUGGAAAUGUGAUGACCAAGAAACCUGACUUUAGUUUGAAACAAUGAAAUUUUUGAACUGGAAAGAGCUAAUCCAGCCUUUUUUGUAGCAAGAUAAAAUAUAUAUAUAUAUAUAUAUAUUGUUUGUUGAAGCACAAUUUAUGUUUAUUUGUAAGCACAAUUUAUGUUUAUUUGUGAAUUAUGCUCUCCCAUAUAUGAAUAUAUUUGUGUUCUGCCUCUGAAUUACAUGCAAUAUCUCUGUAAUGUUGUAGCACCUCUGGACUUUGAUCAAAGUGGCACACACAUUUUGGACAGAAUGCAGCCUAAGUCUAGAACUGAACUGCUAUGGCUAUUUUGCAUGAUUAAGAGUGUGAUCUAAGGGUGGAAGAAUCCUUGCAACUUUGAUGAUAAAGCUGAGCUAUUUGUUGCAUGAUUGAGUGAUUGAAGUGUUAGCAUUGUUGUCAUUACUUAAAAACAAGUAAUGGUUUAAGUUUGGGGGUGUGAUAACUCUAUGAAAUGAGCGUUAUUAUGGCAAUUCUAGAAUUAAAUCAAUAUUUACUUAGAGAGUAAAUAAUGUGUUUCUAUUAUAUUUUUCUAUUGUAUUUAAUAAAUUUUACUUAAUUUAGAAUAAUUUGUGCUUAAAUUGUGUGCAUAAUUGUAGGUGUCCAGAAGCUCAUAUCUCAUGGAAGGAGUGCUGAUGCAAUAGGCUUGUAAAAAUGAGGAAGAACAUGGCUACAAAAGAAUUGAAACAAAUCUGGAACAAUGUAGUGUUGUAGUCGUUGCUGUAGCAACCAUUGCUGUAGCAAUCCUGGAACAACGACAGAGAAAAUUUAGUGCGGGAUACUUGCAGAAUCGAGAUCUGCAGUUUUCUAAUCUGACUUAUGCGCGCCUUAGGCUUUUGUUUACCCUAAUUUUCAGUUAUAAAAAGAGCACGCAUCAUAUGGUAAAGGGGGCGGAGAAUUAACAUCGAAUAAAUAAAUCAAGAGGAAAAGAAGGAAAAAUCAGAAUUCAAGGGAGAGCAAGUUUGCACCAGUGAAGAGAUCGGCAGAACUAUUUGGAUUCAAUUUUCAUCGUUCUUUACUUGUCCCCUUUCUUACUCUUUGAUUGAACCGAUGUAUUUCAUGGCUGAUACUUUGUUGUUUGUUUUUCUUUUCCAAAGUAUGAACUAAAUUUGAUUGUAGUUGAGUGACAAAUAAUCGCAAUGGGUUUUUGACUAUUCUUAUGAGUUGCUGAAAAAUUGAUGUAGCAUUUUACUCUAAUAGCAUAUAUUACAAUCAUUAUUUCGGUUGACCUCUCAUUUAAUGGUUAAAGUUAAAAGAAAGCCGUAAAAGGGCCUAUAUUAGUGGAAAUUAUUAGAGUAAUACUUGAUCUUAAUUUAAGUUUCCUAAAUUGAGUUUAACGUGAGUCCCAAAAUGGCCACACUUGAGUUAAGAUUUGUGAAGAACUAGAUAUAGGGAUUCAUCUUGUAGGGUAGAGGGGGUGUAUGUUCAUAAUGUCAUACCUUAGGUGAAAUAACAACUGGUCAUUGUUAGGGUGCUUAAGGGUAUGAGAAGUCCAACAAGAGACAGCUGAGGAUGCAAAAUAAUUAUGCCCAUGAAGAGAGUUUGAUCAUUCAGCUACCUCAUUCUCUUUAAAUUCUUCUUUACGCAAUUCAUCUAAUUUACUUUAUUACUACAUUUAUUUUAUUAAAAUUGUUAAUUUCAGUAGUAAUCAACUUUAAUUAGAUUUCUCUUUAGAUAAAAGAAGUUUGCACUGUCGUGAUUGCUGUAGCAUUUCUAGUAACAUCAGUCCAUGUGGAGACGAUCUUGAAUAUUCAUCACUUUAUUACUUAUUGUGUACAUUUGCAUAUGACAUCAAUAACAAUUGAGUUAAAUUAACCAACAAUGUGUUAGAAGCCAAGAUUAAGAAAGAAGAUGUGAAUGUGGCUAUAAAAGAUUCUGACAUUGAGACAUGGUAUAAAAAGUUUGGUCACAUUGGUGAAAAAGGGUUAGAAACUCUUGCCAGAAAAAGAUUUCUACCCAGCUUCGCAGAUAUGUCCCUCAAGACUUUUGCUCAUUCCUUAGCUGGAAAGACAUACAGAGUAGCUUUUAAAAGGUUUUCUCCAUCUAGAAAGUCUCAAAUCCUUGAUUUGAUUCACACUGAUUUUUGCAUGAUGUAAAGUAGAUCAAUUGGAGGUGCACUUUAUUUUGUUACUUUUAUUGAUGACUAUUCUACAAAGGUGUGGACUUUUUCUUUGAAAUCUAAAGAUCAAGUGCUUGAUAUAUUUAAGUUCUUCCAUACUUAUUUUGAGAGAGAGACGAGAAGAAAAUUAAAAUGCGUCAGGGUAGAUAAUGGUGGUGAGUAUAGAAGGCCAUUUGACCAGUAUUGCAGAUCCCAUAGAUUUAGACUUGAGAAGACUGUACUAAAACCCCACAGUAGAAUGGUAUUGCAGAAAGGAUGAACAGAACAAUUGAAAAGAGAGUCAGGUGUAUGCCUUCUGAUGCCAAGCUUCAUAAAUCCUUCUGGGCAGAGACUAUGCGUUCUGCAGUUGACUUGAUUAAAUUUUUCUCCUUCAGCUCCAUUGAUGGUGAUGUACCUGAGAUAGUUUGGACUGAAAUAUAUGUUUCUUACAAACACUUGAGAGUGUUUGGUUACAGAACAUAUGUUCACAUUCAUAAGGAUGAAAGAUCGAAGCUUGAUGACAAAGCUAAAGAAUGCAUUUUCUUAGGCUAUGGGCAUAAAGAAUUUGGGUACAGAUUAUAGGAUCCAGUGCCAAGAAAAUUGAUCAGAAGUAAACAUGUUGUGUUCCUCGAAGAUCAAAUAGUUAGUGAUGCAGAGAAUAGUGAUGAGUCUCAGUCAUCUCUAAAGAUUCCUAUUAUUCUAACUUUAGUUUCUUCAUCUAUAAUUCAUAAUGAUCAUGGAGGAGCUGGAGAGGAUAGUAAUGAUGGUCCAGCAGAACUAGUUGACCAAGCACCUCCAGAACCACCUGCACCACCAAUGGAGCCUGAAUUGAGAAGAUUUACUAGAGAACGGUGACUUUCCACCAGAUAUCCUCCACAUGAGUAUAUGAUGCUUACAGAUGAAGGGGAGCCAUAAUGUUUUGAAGAAGCCAUGUUUCAAAUAACUCACAACAACGAUACAAGGCUAGACUGGUUGAUGGGGUACCUAGCAACUUCUUGUUGUGUGGGCUGAUCAGACUUUGCUUUCUUAGUUUCUGAUUCUUCUGAUGCUUGCAUUGUUGCAGCAUAUACGGAGGGUUGUGCCUUUUUACGCUUGUUGGAUGCCCUAGGAGUUCGGCUAGGAGAUUUGAUGGGAGGUUGCUGAGUAGUGCUUACUGUAGUAGUUUCCCCAGAUGUGAUUUUAGCAAUAAUAUCAGGGAAACUCUUAUUUGCUUCAUCAGUUUUUGUAGCCCUGGUAUCAGCUGCUUUAAUUUCUGCAUCAAUAUCAUCUUGAUCAUUGUCUGAUUCUUCAUCAGUCAGAACUUUUUGUUUACCUUUACUUAGAAACACUGUAAUCGGGGGUUCAUCAUCCUGCCCAUCCUAUGUCUUAUCUUCGUAAACUUUUAUGAUGUGCUUUUUUUUACGUUUAGGAGGUACUACUGGAGGUGCCUCAUCCUUCUACGUUGCUGAUUCGUCUUCUGUACUAUAUUCCUCCUCUAUUUCUUCUUAUUAUUUUUCCUUCUUCUCUUUCUCUUCCUCUGCUGGUAGUGGGUCUUUUUCAGAUUCUAAUUCUUCUUCACUCUCUGCUGCUGCCUCAACUACUGGAGCAUCCCUUGUUAAUGUUUGGAAAUUAAACGGCUACAACAAGGAGUCAUGGAAAUCUUUGCUCUUUUUCUUCAUGUAGACUUCAAACUAAUUUCUAUGGUUUUCAAGGUGCAUUAAAUAAUUCCUGAAUCUUUGAUUUUGUUCUUUCCAUGCGUGUACACAUUCAUUAAUGGUGUCACUUAAUUCUUGCAGCUUCAUCUCAAUGCCAGUAACGUUCAUUGCUCUGGUCACAACAACAUACUCUGGUGUUGCUGUAGUAGUAGUUUCCGUAGCAAUUCUUUCAAUAAUUCGAUCAGUAAGAGCUCAUUCAUUCUUAAUGCUUUCAUCUUUUGCUGAUAUUUUCACCCGAAAUACCAGACAAAUCCUAGUAAUGAGUGAGCGAAACAACAAAGCAGCAAUCUUGUGAUUUUUCAUGGCACACUCUAAUCUCCCUCUCUAUAAUUUUCCUCACAUCAAUUGGUAGACCCUUGCAAAUGGCAUAUAAUAGGUAAGAUUUUCAUGAGAUACGGUGGUGGUGUAUGUGGUGGGUAUCAAUCGAGAUUUUAGAAAUUUUACCCACACUUUGGCUACUGGUUUCAAAUCAAUUCUAUUCACUCCUCUGCCUUCCUCAUUCAACCAUGAACUACCCUCCACCAUAAGGAUUUCAAGCACAUCACUUCACUUCUUAGCAGUCAUAUUCUCAAUCAUUUUUGAAUACUCACAAUCAAUAUCAUAUGGUAAAUUAUAAAAAAGCAUUGAUUACCCUAAAAAGGGACUUGAACAUUCCUUACCAUUAUUGUGCAUUGGUCUUGCCGCAACAUGUUGGAGUAAAAUUCCUUAACGAUUGGGAGCACAAGGUCUCGUGGGUGAGUGUAAAAAUCUAGCCAUUUUUUCUUUGCUACACCAGCAUAGAUUGUGUUGAUUGUUCCUGAUGGUUGUUGAGGGAAUUGAAAAUCGUUUUCCUCUAAAAUCUUCUUAGGCUCUAUAAAUUCUUCAAAUUAUCCUCGGCUUUGUCACUAUGGAAGCGUGAGGCGUCCUUUAGUCGAGCAGUUGUCUUCUUGUACCACGUCAUUGCUAGAGCAACAAAACUGAGUUGUUGGGUACCUAAAAAAGAAAAAACUCGUGAAAGUGACUCUAAAGUAUGUGGAGAACUGUGGACUAGAAGAGAAAAAAUUUGGAUAAAAAUGAAAAGAAGCAUAGUGAAACCCUAAUUUAUAGGUGACGGUAAAAUAGAAAAAAUUAAUUAAUGAGGUAAAUUUAGAAAUUGUAUUUGAAAUUUAAAAUAAAUCCACAUUUACGUUCGGGAAUUUAGGGAUUAUGUAAUCCAUUCUUAUUUUUUAUCUUGAUUUCUUGAGCUAUCUAUCAAAAAUUUACUCCCAACAGUGCAAAAAUACUUUCCAUAGUUAUGUCACUAUAACGAUAAGAAUCAUUGCUACAACAAGUAAUAUAGUGCUGCAGCAACUGCGAUAAAGUCCCUAGUUUGAUGAGAACCAUUGUUCAACUGUCAUAUAAAGUGUAAUGCUGCAACAUCUCGUGUCAGUGUUUUAUCCAAAAAAAAUUCAUUAUUAUUUAUACAUGCCGUAAUAAAAUAAUAGACAUAAAUAAAUUAAUUAAAAACUUCAAAAUAUCAACAACCGUAAAGAAAAACAUGAAAACUAAAUUUAAUGUUAAAGGAAAAAUUGAAAUAACUCCCUUAAUCAUUGGGUUGCCUCCCAAUUAGCGCUUUAUUUAAGGUCUUUCAGCCUGACCCCCCUUAAUUGCUCAAACUGGAUUUAUGAGGCACAAAUCCUCCCUUGAAUGGUCAAAAUCAUCAUUAAUAUAGUGUUUCACCCGCUGCCCAUUUACCAUAAAUUCAAUGCUAGUUCUCUCAUCUUUGAGGUCCACAGCCCCAUGAGGAUGGAUUUUGAUAAGUCCAAAAGGCCCUGACCAUCUAGACUUUAACUUUCCUAAAAAAAGCUUUGAUCUAGAGUUGUAGAGCAAAACUCGUUGACCUAGAAUUAAAUCCCUUUGCUGGAUGCGUUUAUCAUGCCAUUGUUUUGUUUUGUCUUUGCAAAUCCUUGCGUUAUCAUAAGAGAACUAUCUUAACUCUUUAAACUCACAAAGUUAAAACUUCCUAUGCUCUGCUGCAACAUGCAUGUCCAUGUUCAGUUGUUUUAGCGCCCAAAAUGCUUUAUGCUCUAGCUCCAGUGGCAAAUAGAAAGCUUUACCAUAUAUAAUUUUAUAUGGUGACAUGCCAAGUAGUAUUUUGUAAGCUGUGCGAUAUGCCUGUAAGGAAUCAUGUAAUCUAAAAGACCAAUAUUUUCUAGUAGGGUUCACCACUUUUUCUAAAAUCCUUUUUAUUUCCUUGUUGGACACUUCUGGCUGACCAUUAGAUUGAGGGUGAUAUAUUGUAGCAACCUUGUGCUUAAUUCUAUAUUUAGCCAAUGCUGCAGCAAAUAUUCUGUUGCAAAAAUGAGUGCUUUCAUCACUGAUGAUGGCUCUAAGAGUCCCAAAUCUUGUGAAAAUGUUCUUUUAAAUGAAUCUCACCACGGCUUUGGCAUCAUUUGUUGGUAGUGUUACAACUUCCGCCCAUUUGAACACAUAGUUUACAACAACUAAAAUGUAUAAAUCCCCAAAAGAGGGUGGGAAUGGACCCAUGAAAUCCAUCCCCCCAACAUUAAAUAGCUCAACUUCUAAAAUGUUGGUUAAUGGCACUUCAUGUUUUUUAGAGAUGUUCCUUGUUAUUUGGCACCUGUCACAACAUUUAACAAACUCAUAAGCAUCUUUAAAAAUAGAGGGCCAGUAAUAACCUGAUUGUAUAAUUUUUUUGCUGCUGGUCUGUGGCCUCCAAAAUGGCCUCCAUAUGCUAUAGCAUGACAUGAUUGCAGUAUGUUUGAAAUUUCUUCAUCAGAUACAUAUCUUCUAAUCAUAUAGUCUGAGCAUAUCUUGUACAAAUAAGGUUCAUCCAACUGAUAACUUCUAACAUCAUUAAGAAAUCUCUUCUUCUACUGGUAACUCAAAUCAAGUGGUAACAAUCAGCUCACCAAGUAAUUAGCAAAAUCUACAUACCAUGGAAGCCCAGAUUAUUGUAGCAUAUGUGUAUGCUUUAGCAUUAACAAUUGCUCAUUAAGAAAUGUCUAUGUGAUCUCUUGCUUGAUUAGAGUGCUUUCAUCUGCUUCCAGCCUUGAAAGAUGAAAUUCUCCUUGGUUCUCAGUCCCUAUUCUUUGUUUAAUCUCGAAGUCAAAUUCUUGUAGCAAAAGGAUCCACCUUAUCAACCUUGGUUUGGCAUCUUUUUUUUAAAAUCAAAUACUUUAUGGCUAAGUAAUCUGUGUAAACAGUCACUUUGGUGCCAACCAAAUAAGCUCUAAAUUUGUCAAAUACAAAGACAAUUGCUAGUAAAUAGAGUGAAAAAUUUUGUUCUUUCUUUGCCCUAACACUGCUCCAACAGAGUGUCCACUGGCAUCAGACAUCAACUUAAAAGGUAAGUUCCAAUCUGGUGUUAUAACAAUUGGUGCUGUAGCAAAAGCUUUCUUCAAUUCUAUAAAAGUCUUUAAACAAAGCUUACCAAAAUAGAAAGGCCUAUCAUGCUCCAGCAGCUAGCAUAAGAGUUUUGAUAAUUUAGAAAAUCCUUAAUGAAUGUUAUAUAGAAUUAUGCAUGUCCCAAGAAAUUCCUAAUGCCUUUAACUGAAGUAGGUGGUGGGAGUUUACUAUUUUGACCUUCUCCACUUAUAUUCCUUUUCUAGAGACUUUAUGGCUUAGGAUUAUCCCUUCUUGUACCAUAAAAUGACACGUUUCCUAAUUCAACACUGAAUUUAUCUCCUCACAUAUUUUAAGCAUAUUUUCUAGAUUAUGCAAACAAUCAUCAUAGAUCUCCCCAAAAAUCGAAAAGUCAUCCGUGAAUACCUCAAGCGUUUGCUCUACCAUAUUUCAAAAAAUAGACAUCAUACACCUCUGGAAUGUUGCUAGAGCAUUGCACAAACUAAAGGACAUCCUUCUGAAAUCCUUCUGAAAUAAGCAAAAGUUUCAUAAAGACAAGUGAAUAUUGUCUUCUCCUUAUCCUCUAGUGCUAUAGCAAUAUGGUUGUAGCCAGAAUACCCAUCCAAGAAACAGCAGUACUUUUUUCCAACAAGUAUGUCUAGCAUCUAAUCUAUGAAAGGCAACGGGAAGUGAUCAUUCCUUGUGGCGUUGUUUAGCUUCCUAUAGUUCAUGCAAACUCUUCAUACAGUUACUGUUUUGUGGGAAUAAGCUCAUUCUUCUCAUUUGUUGCAAUAGUCACUCCACCUUUCUUUGGAUCACAUUGUACUGGACUCACUCAGGAGCUGUCGGAUAUUGGGUAGAUGAUUCCAGCAUCAAGUCAUUUGAUAAUCUCUUUCUUCACAACUUCUUUCAUGAUGGGAUUUAAUCUUCUUUGUUACUCUACCGAGUUGUUUUAGCAAUCUUCUUGCAAGAUCUUGUACAUACAUAUGGAGGGGCUGAUUCAUUUGAUAUCUGCCAUGGUCUAUCUAAUGGCCUUCUUGUAUCUCCCCAACAUUUCCACUCAGCUCUUUACUUGAUCUGCAUUCAAAGAAGAUGAAAUGAUUACAUGUAGUGUGUUAUUGUCACCAAGAUAAACAUAUUUUAGAUGUGAAGGUAGAAGUUUUAAGUAUAAAACAUAAGGUAAUUCAAUAGAUGGUACAGCAGGUUUCACUUCCCCAUUUGAAAGAUCUAGAGACUUAAAAUGUCUGUUUGUCCUCACAGGUCGCUUCUCUCUUAACUAUGCUAUAUGCGUUGCUGCAGCAUCUUCAUCUUCAAGUUCUUCAAACGUGGCGGCCUUGAUUUCUUCAUUGUUGCAGCAAUUAUUUAAGAUGUCUGUGACAGUAAGCUUCACAGCACCGACCAAAUCACAAUCUUCAACUUCAUCAAGACUCUUCAUUGCUUCCAAUACAUUAAAGGUAACUUGCUGAUCAUUAACCCUCAUACUCAACUCUCAUUUUUGAACAUCAAUUAAAGUUUUUCCUGUGGCUAAAAAGGGUUUGCCUAGAAUAAUUUGUACUUCUUUAUCUGCUUCAAAGUCCAACACUAUGAAAUCCACUGGAAAAAUGAAUUUAUCCACUUUAAUCAAUACAUCUUCAAUUUUGCCUUCAGGAUAAGCAUGAGAUUUAUCAGCAAGUUGCAAUGUUACUGUGAUUGGUCUGACUUCUCCAACUCCCAAUUAUGUGAAUACUGAUAAUGGCAUAACAUUAAUGCUUGCUCUCAAAUCACAAAGUGUCUUACUAUUGUAUUUAGUUCCUGUGGAACAAGGAAUUAUAAAACUUCCUGGAUUCUUUAACUUCUAAGGAAUUUUACUUUAAAGUAUAUGGUUCCAUUCUUGUCUUAAAGCAACUAUUUCGAAUUCUCCAAGCCUUUUUUUUCUUGCCAAUAUAUCUUUCAAAAACUUCACAUAAUUUGGGAUUUGUUCCAAUACGUCCACAAAAGAAAUUUUGAAAUGCAGUUGUUUUAAUACUUCCAAGAAUUUACUAAACUGCUUGUCAUGUUUUUACUUCUGAAAUCAUUACGGGAAGAUUUCCCCUUGGGUAUAAUUAGGUUAUGUUCUUCUUUUUGGUACUUUAACUAAAAUAUGAACAUCAUUUUCAGACCUUAAGUUAAUCACCUUGCAAUGCUCUUUUCUUUCUCUUCUUGGAUCCUCUGUAUUGCUUGGUAAAUUGCCCUAAGGUAUGUUGCUCAAUGCUGUAGCAAGCUGUCCAAUCUGAUUCUCCAAGUUUCUUAAAGAUAUAGCUUGACUUUGGACUACUACUUCAUUCUUCACAAUAUACUCCAUAAUUAGAGUUUCAAAGGAACUAAAUUGAUCAUUACUGGUGUUUAUUUUCCCUUAAAAUUGCUGAUGAAAUCCAAGUGGCUAAGCAGGUCUGUUAUGUCCAUUAGAUGCUGCAACAUACUGAUUCUGAUUGCUCCAUGAAAAGUUUGGGUGUUGUCGCCAUUCAGGAUUAUAGAUGUUUGAAAAUGGAUUGGUUUGAUUUUGUCUAUUGAAAUUGCCCGCAUAAUUGACUAAGCUGGAUUUCCAAGACAACUAUCAUAUAGAUGUCCCUCUCCACAAUAAACACAAGAGACUUCAGCAACUUGGUUAGUUAUUGCUGGAGCAGUGGUCGUUGCUUUUACCAUAUUUGUUAAUGAGGUUACUUGGGCUGAUAAUGAUGUCAGUGCAUCCACAUUGUGUACUCCAGUUACUCCUCUUAUUGCGGCUUGUCUAAUUGAUGGCCAUUAAUAGUUAUUGUUGGCUAUCUUUUUCAAAAUUUCAUAAGCCUCAUUGUAUGACUUAGACAACAUAGCCCCUAGUGUUUGAGUUCAACCCAUUGUAAAUAGUUUCCAAUUGUACACAACAAGGAAUACCAUGAUGAAGGCAUCUCCUGGGUAACUCCUUGAAUCUUUCCCAUGCAUCAUACAAGCUUUCAUCUUCAAGUUGAUGGAAAGAUGUGAUCUCAUUCCUCAACUUUACAUUCUUUGUCGGUGGGAAAUAUUUCAUCAAAAAUUUGUCAGCCAAAUCAUUCCAUGUGGUGAUGGAGUCUAGUGGCAAAGAAUUCAACCAUGCCCUUGCUUGAUCUCUUAAAGAAUACGGGAAAAUUCUGAGUCUCAAUGCAUCUUGUGAUGCUCCAGCAAUUUUGAAAGCAUCACUCACCUCCAAGAAUAGUUUAAGGUGAAGAUGAAGAUCUUCUUAUGGCAAUUCAUUGAAUUGCCCCACUGUUUGUAAUAUCUAAAACAUCACUGGUUUGAGCUCGAAAUUGACAACUUGCAUUUCAGGUCUAACUAUUCCAGGAUGUAUAACUUGAGGGGUCAACACAGCAUAGUCUCUAAUGGCUCUGUCUCUAUCAUCUGUCAUGUAGAUAAUAUUGUUGUUCCCUGGUUGUCCCCAAAUAUUCUGCUCAUUAUGGCUUUCUUGGUCAUUAACUGGUUAUAUUUCUCUGUGAGGGUUCAAGUUCCUCAUAUCUUGCAAAUCGUCCAUUACUACAGCAGCUUUUGAAUUCUUAUUCUCUUUCCUCAAUCUCCUUACAAUUCUUUCAAUCUCUAGAUCAAAUUGGAAUUCAACAUGUUUGUAUUUGCACAUGCAAGGGUUGGUAGAGCACUUCUACAAACACAUUAAACAAAAAGAAAAUUAAAAUCUUGCAUCAACUAAAAUUGAUUUCACAAAACACAAUAAGCACCAAUCCCCGGCAACGGCGCUAAAAACUUAUUGUAGGUUUUCUAAUGCUAUUAGUGUCAAUGUGCAAGUGCACAUAACAAGUAAUAUAAUGAUAAAUAUUCCAGAUUGUCUCCACAAGGAUUAUUGUUAUAGGAAUUGCUACAACAAUUUUAUCAGUGCAAUUUUUAUUCUAAAUUAGAAUUAAAAUAAAUUAUUAAAGUAAUGAACUAAUUAAGAUAAAAAUGCAAUAAGAAAAAUACAAUCACAUAAAUGAUCACAGCAAAUAUAAGGAUGUAACCAAGGGGAAUGGAGUAGUUGAGUAAUUAAACUCACUUAAUGGUUUUGAUUAUUUUUCUAAUGUUGGUUCGAUUACUACAACAUCUUCUACAGCACUGGGAAGAAUCCUUAUGUAUCCUCAAUUGUCGCAUGUUGGAUGUCUUAUACCUAAAAACAACUUAACAGUGACCAAUUGUUAUGCUAACAUUAGAUAUAGCAUUACACGUUUUAGAUUCGAAUUACCCUACAAGGUGAAUCCUUAUAUCUAGUUCAUCACUAAUUUUAGAUUACGCAUGACCUUUUUUUAAUCAAGUUAAACCCAAUUCAGGAAACCCAAUCUAAACCCAACUUAGGAAACCUAAUCUAAACCAAGUAUUGUUAUGAUAUGUUCCACUAAGACAGGUCUUUAUAGGCUCUAUCUUAACUAAUAUCACUAAAUGGGUGGUCAGCCAAAAUAGUGAAUUGAAAUAAGUAUUAUUAAAACAACGUACUAUAGCAAACAUGCCCCAAUAUAGUAUAUCAGUCAAUUAACUAUCAAGUUUGCUCAUCGCUCAACCACGAGUAAAUUUAGUUCAUAAUUUGCAAUAAAACAAUAAUCAAAAUAGUUUUAGCCAUCAAAUAAUCCAUCAUAACAAGAUAAAAGUAAGAGAACAAAAAAUAAGAGUUGAGAUCUGUUUGAUGUUCUUCUAGAAUUCUUUGUUGCCGUCUUCGAUUCUCUCUCUUGAUAUUUGUUUUAUCUUGUUUUGUUUCUCUAUUGUUUCUCUCAAAUGACGGUCUCUCCUUUUUCUUUGCGUUUGUACUUCUUUUAUAGCUUAGAAUCAGGGCAACCGGAAGCCUAGGGUGCGCAUAUUCUAGUUUAGGAAACUCAAGAUCGCAAUCUUCCAAGUAUCAUAAGCGAAAUCUUUUCUGCCAUUGUUCCAGGAUUGCUACAGGAACAAUGCUACAGCAAUGGCUUCAGCACCUGCACUGUUCCAGAAUUGUUUCAAUUCUUAUAUAACCAUAUUCUUUCUUUAUCUUUGCAAGCUUAUUGCAGCAGCAUUCCUCCCUUGAAAUUUGAGCUUCCGGUCACCUAUAAUUAUAUUAUGAUCUAAGCACAAAAAUUAUUCUGAAACAAUGCAAUUUAUUAAAAUAAACUAUGGAUAUUCAUACAAAAUAUAACUAAAAUGCAAUAAAAAUAUGUCAUUUACUCUCUAAGUAAUCUUGAUUUAAGUCUAAAAAUGUCAUGAAAACUUUCAUUUCACAGAGUUAUCAGCAGCAAAAGGGUUAAUCCAACUAUUGAUUUAGAUCAAGUCUAUAAUGACAAUAACCCCAAACUAUUUGAGCUUAAAGCUCUUGCCAGCAAAUGGGCAAUUGGGAUGAAAGUCCUCUAUAAACAACUUGAAUAGAUAAGUAAAGAAAAAAAAAUGUGGCUGCACUAAGUCAAAACAGAACAUAUAAUCUAUUCAUUAAGUAAAAAAGAAAACAUUUUAGCCAAGCAAGCCAUCUUGAAAAAGAAAAAGGCAAUAUAUGAUAAUCUCGUGGAAUCCAACCUGCCAACACACAGUGGGAUAUGCAAGGUGCUUAAUCAUCAAUCAGAUUCUGGCUUUUGCUAUAAAAAAAAAAAUCAAAAGAAGAAUCUAGUAAGGAAGACAUGCCGCUAGAAGAAGAGCUCAUAAUUAACACGUGACAGGAGACCACUAAAAAGAUAAAAGCUGCCAACUAGAAGCAUUAAUAUUUCAGAAAGAAUCCAAAGUAAAGGAUAAGACUUAUCGAAAUCGUUACCUCAACCAUGUGAAGACUAUCAACCAUUAGAAAAAGAAGACAAAAGUUGCCCUUAAUAAUGCAAGAAGAAGGGGUUACCUUAUCUCUGGGAAAUCUAUCAGGCAACAAGUGUCAUGUAAAAAGAUAUAAUCUUAUCUCUAAAAUCUAUAUGUGUAAGAAAGGAUUAUCUUAUCUAUCUAAAUCUAUAAAUAAAGUCACGUAAGAUAGAAGAGGUAUCACUCACGAGCAUUCUCUUAUUCUCAUCUGUAUUCUCUCUUUAAAUUCAAAAAUUAAAUAAAAAAAUUGUUUUUGAGUGAAAUUAUUAUCUUUAUAUAACUUAUUUAGAUUUUAGAAAAAAAAAUCAAGAAUAUACAUGCCAACACUUGUGCUAAAUAAAGAAGAUUUCAUAUUACUAAGCACUCUUCUAUAUCAAUUACAACAGAUUCACUUAGGCAUAUCUUACUGGCCUAGUCUGCAAUGUGUUGCUUUAGGCCAUGUGGAAUAGUUGUGGGAUUGAUCUUGCAUGAUGUGUGGAGCUAUAACAGUGCUGAGCAUGGGCCAAUUUAUGGGCUCAUGGAACUAGCAAAAUUAUUCUAGAAUUUUGAGGAAUAGUACUCUAGUUAGUACUCUAAAUUAUCUUAUUAUAUUUUGCACAAAUAGAUGAUAUAGAGUGAUAAUAGCAACUCAAUUUUCAUAAAACAUGGAAAGAUGAGUCGCCAAAUUUCUAGAUGCCAUAGAUAAUCUAGACUUUAGUAAGGAAUAGUUAUUUAUACAAUGAAAAUUGUUAAAUCUCGAUUAAUUGCAAGGAAGCACUUGUAGAGAGAUAUAGAGAGAAUAAACUAUUAGCCUAAAAGGGCUACACAUAUUGUAAUUUUGAUGAUAACAAACAUGUGUCUUAAGUGAUUUGAUAAAUAUUGUAUAUCACAUUUUCAUUAGUUCUUGAAAGAUAAUAUUUAUGAUGAAGUGAAUCACGAAAAAUCAAGCUCAAGACACUCAACGGACAACGGCGUGAUCAAGAAUAAAGUUUAGAGUUCAACGGAAUCAUUAUUGCGACAAUUCUUGUAAAGCCGGUAUGAUUUAAAAUAUGAAUGAUUUAGCAUUUAAAAAGCUCAAGAUUUUGUUUAAUAAAUCAUUAUUUUUUCAUAAAUCAAAAGUUUUACAAGUAUAAGCUAAGUAUUUUAUGAAAUUAGUUAUUUUUCAAGAUGUGGACUAAAAUGAAAAUUUUUUACAAUCUUUGAUUUUAAAAAGUAUUGUUUUGAAUUCCAGAGUUUGACUUAUUUGCAAACAUUUAAAACUUUUUAGGUCAUACUAUAAUUUAUGAACGUUUGAGGACCCGAAGUGAAAAUAUCCAAAAAUUUGACAGAGAGUUAGCGGCUAAUCGCCUGAGGGCUAGCGGCUAGCUGUCUAAGGAAAAUCUCAUAUUUUCAAAUUUUGGACUAAAUUGAAAGAUUUUGAGAACUUUGAAAUUUAUAAGUAUUAUGUUAAAUUUUGAAAAGUACCUCUUUGAAAAAUAUUAUUAAACUUUGGACCAUAUCAUAAUUUUAAAAAGUUUUUAGAAUAACAAGUAUUAUUUUAAAAUUCAAAAGUUGGACAUGUUUGUAAAGUGUUAUAACAUUUUGGGCCAUAGUAUAAUUACAUAAAGUUUUGGGCACAAAUGUAACUUUACUGUUCUGAAGCAACGAGCCGGAUAAAUUAAGUGGCUAGUCACUUGCUCGCUGGAAUUUACCCAUAACGGCUAAUUUUCAAGCUUUAGCUAUAAAAACUCAACUCUAACUUCAAUUUGGAGACUUUUGCAAGCAUAAACAAAUGCAUAAAAUAUAUAUUGAGCUUUCAUUUCGCAAAUCAUCUUAUAUUGAAUCAUCAUUGUGCUAUUAUUUGUAGAUCUACUCUAAAAGAGAGUUUUUUGUUUUAUUAUUCAUUUUUCUCAUCAAAUUUGUAAUUGUAUAAGUGUGAGAAACACUUAUGUGAAGAGAUUGAGAGAUAAUCUCUUGGUUGUAAAGGUUUAUUGACAUCUUGAAAGUCAAAUAUAAUGAACUUGAAGCCUUGGGAGACUUGAAUAGUGAAAUCCUUAAGGUUGGUUGGCUUGGAGGCGUGGACGUAGAUGGGGAUUGCGGAACCACGUAAAAAUUAUUGUGUUUGCUCUAUUUUCCCUUACUCUUCUAUUAUUGUACUUUAUUGAAUUUUUUAUUUUUUAUUUGAUUAAGACAAUAGAUUAAAUUGUUGUGCGAAUUGUUUAGCGUAAGUUUUAAAAUCCCAAUUCACCUCCCCCCCCCCCCCCAAACCGUCCAUAAUAAGUCUAUUGAUGAAUAAAAACAAUAAUAGUGAUGUGAAUAUAUUCGGAUUUUAUAGAUUUUUAUGAAUUUGAUAAUCAUUUAGAUCUUUAUAAAAUUAUAAUAAAACUUUAAAAAGCUUUAAAAAUAUAUGUAGAAAAGAUGGAAGAAGAAAUCAUCCAUUUAUUCAAAAUCAAUUAAACAAAAAUAAAAGGUAAAAUACUUGAGUUAUAUCAAUUAUACAAUUUCACAAAAAUUUUACAUAUAUUGCAAAAAGGUCCUUGUGGCACUACAGCAGGUUUCAUAAAUUUUUUACAUACAAAUUUUAUGUUUUAAAAUAUGAAUUUUUUUUUGUAUUUAAUACUUUGUUCAACUAUAUGUACAGGUCCUCAACGUGUUGGUUGAUGUUGAAUAUUCAAAGAUCCACAAGCUAUCAAUGACAACGACUCAAAUUAAACUAAUUCGUUAAUACAUAAUAACUGGGUUGUUUCCUAUGCUUGUUAAUGAUGUAGGACGUUGUGUUAGAAUUUUAGAAUUUUAAUUUUUUAGGUCUUCUGAUAUUUUCUUUUUUAAUUAAAGUUAGUGUCUUAGUCUUUUAUUUCUAUUGUAAUUAUGAUUUACUUUCCCUUUUUAAGUUAACUUAUAAAAGUAGAUUUACUCUAUUAUAAAUAAAGAGAUCUUGUUAUCGCUUUUAUAACUUCAACUUCAGUUAUUAAAUUAAAAACCCCUCUUUUAUAAUUUCCUUUGGUAUUAUCUAUUAAAAAUUCCUCUUUUAGAGUUGUUUGAUUAGAGAAUCAUUUAGCCUAUCUUAACACAGUAUUAAAAAUCCCAUUGAGUUUAAUCAUACUUCGAUUUGAGCGUAAUUAAUCGCAUUGAUUUGGUCCAGUACUUGAACGAUAUCUAGUGUUUUGCUUCUGCUACGCCCAAGGAGAAAAUUAAUUUCACCGUGAGAUAAGAGCAUUAAAAGGAAUUCAUAAGAAAUUUAAAUUAAAUUAGCUACGAAGUGAAAAUAAAUAAAUAAAUGAAUAUGAAGUUGAAAAUAAGUCUCGCCGCCUGGAUCCAAGGCCAAAACAUUCAUGAUAAGUUAGGUAAUUAAGUACAUGUUUUCAAGCUCUUCAUGAAGAAUAAUGUUAUUGAAAUAAAUCACAAAGACUCCCUGCGCAAAUUAUUACAUUGAUUAAAAAAAAAAAUGCCAUAUCUUUAACAGGAUCGUGGCUCUCGGACUGUUAAUUACUUUAUUCCCUGCUUGGCCAACAGCUGGCCACUAAACAAAAUCAUAAAAAUUUUAAAUUUAGUCAAAUUGGUCCCACUUGAUGACAUCCUUUUCAUACAUAAAAUUGUUUAACGUCAAGGUUAAAUAUGAGAAGUUUGGUAGAGAAGGUAAAAAGGAAGUCUAUAUAAGGAGGGGAACGAGCUUUGUUUAUAGCACAAGUGAAACUCCACUUUAUUGAACGAUGGGGUCUCAAAUGGGCUGCCUCUUUGCCACUCUUUUGGUAGUAUCAGUCUCUCUUAGCUACUUGCCGUUAGAAGCCUCCGCAAACAAAUACUACUACACAUCUCCUCCCCCUCCCAAGUACAAGUCUCCACCACCACCCCCGCCACCGGUUCACAAUUCUCCACCACCACCCCCGGUUUACCUGCCCCCGCCACCUCCUCCACCAGUCUACGUGCCUGCUCCGGCACCAACUCCAAUUUCCUAUUCCCCGCCACCUCCUGUCCCCAAGUCCCCACCACCACCUCACCCUUACGUCUAUGCAUCUCCCCCUCCUCCUUACUACUACUAGAAAGCGGCCAUGAAU
rnacentral:lncRNA from 1 species